AUUCAGCAAUCUAAAGCAACUGACAACACUUAAGAUGAUGGACAUUGAGGGAGGGUUGACAAAAUUACCUAAUGCGAUCUGGUUUGUUCAGUUAGUAGAGACUCCUGAUUUUUGGUGCAGGGGAAGUAAGCUAUAUUGUUUGAAAAUGCCAGACUUGUCAUGGACCCAAAUAUCCGGAUUACCCACCGUGGCGAGUCUCGUCUCUAAUAUCCUUCUUGAACUUGAGAUGGCCGCACGGGAUAGCAGAUGGUUUUCGCAUUGGACGAGGUACCCCCUUGACCCCCUUGGCGAGCUGGAGAGUGUCGUUUUUUCUGGCAUGUUUCCCAGGUGUACCCAAUCUCAGAUGGAAAAAUGAAUAAUGGCCACCCCAAACAUGCGGUUCCUCCUCCAGCUCCCGUCUAGUUUAAGAGAGUCAGUAUUUCGAGUACUGGCGCCCUCACCUUCGUCAUAUGAUGCCCCUUCUUGGUGGAUGCCGAUAUUCGUUGGUAUAUGUGAUUCGGAGUUGGAGAAACUCCUUCUGAAGGAUUACACGCUUUCAAGACGGCUCGAGCAGUUUUCGCUGAAUAUGAGGAGACUCCAGCUUAACUACCGUGAUAAGAAACUCCUUCUGAAGGAUUACACGCUUUCAAGACGGCUCGAGCAGUUUUCGCUGAAUAUGAGGAGACUCCAGCUUAACUACCGUGAUAAGAUUUUUCGACGGCCGCAUCACCCCACAAAAGCACUCAAGCCGUUGAAAAAUUGGGGUCCCUUUCAUCCCUUGCGGUCGCAUAUUGUAGGUCGAUCGAAAGGAUGCUAGACCUAUCGAAAUCGAGGAAGCUAAGGGAGCUUCGAGUAGGAAAAUGUCCGAAGUUAAGAAGCAUGGAAGGUUUGGACCGCUUGGCAUCUCUAAAGCGUUUGUGGAUUCACGAUUGCAGGUCGUUGGAGAGUUUGGUGGACAUCUCGAAUUUGGAUUUAGAAUGUUGCUUGAUUGUCCGUUGGAAGCGAUUGCCCCACCGUCGCAAUUAUUGUAAACGUGGCCGGGUUGCUAUUGUGAGAUGCUUUUUGAGGGGUUAUGGAAAUCUAACCUGAUGGAAGUCCAGGAAGUAUUACAGGGACACCCGGAUGUUGUGCCGGUAAGGAGUUUAGAACAUGGCUUGCUUGUUGUGCUUGGUGUAGCCAUUUUGUUUGUUUUGUUCUUGUUUUGUUUUUUAGUUCUAUGAAAAAGGCUUUCUCCUAGACAAAUAUUGGUGAUGAAGCUAAGGAAGUGAACGAGGCACGCUCAUAUGAUGCUAAAACAUUGUCCAAUUUUGAUCAGCUUUUGAACAUGGUACUCAGUUCAUUGAUUGCUGUCCAUGAUUUCCAUUUUAUUCCUCCUUUUGUCUUUGUUAUAUAUGAGUUUCAACUCAAAUGACUGUGGUCAAACCCUAAUUUUCUCUCGCUUGUUUUGAUCGAAACGGAGAAACUGAACACGGAACGGGAAAGUCUCACAGUGAGAGAUGGGAAAGGGCUAGAGAGAUAGAGAGAGAAAGAGUGGAUGGUCGGAGUUUCUCUUGGCUUCUUACAUUAGAGAGAGAGAGAGAGAGAGAGAGAGAGAGAGGGAGAGAGAAGGGGGGGGGGGGUUUGUCUGCGUCGCGUGGUGACCGUCUGAUAAGGGUGGGCUUCGAGUUGUUCGAGGUCAGCGAGGCUGUGGCGAUCGAGUCACAGACGGUCAAGCACAUAUACUAACCCUCUUUAUUCACAAUUGACUGAUGUUUUAUCCCAUAUGCUCACCAAUUCUGUGUAGGAGGGUUGGCUUUAGGGAAUUAAGCUUAAAAAUGAGUGCCCCAAAGGAGUGCCCUGAGCCCACAUUCUCUUUACAUAUGACUCCCUAUUCUUUCUUGUUACUAACCCUGAUUGAACUGCAGAUGUUCGAAAAAGAUUCUUGACUGAAUUGCACUGCUCGGUCCCUAGGAUUAUCUUGCAAAAAUCGAGUAUAUGAUUCAGUCCUAACACGGGUGCAGAGUUCAGAACAAAGGUACGCAUAGUCUAGGGAAUGAAUGGUAUUCAGAACCCUAGUAAUUAUAUGGGUCUACCUAUUCUAUGGGGGUAGAUCCAAACAUGAAGCUCUUGGCUUUUUUAAGGAUAGAGUCUUGACAAGGAUGCCUAGCUGAAAAUCUAAUUUGUUGUCACAAGCUGGUAGGGAGAUUAGGUUAAAACAGUGGCUUAUGUUGUACAAACUUACUCCAUGUCUUGUUUCAAGUUUCCAAAGAAGUGAUAUGAAGAAGUGGAUGCAGCUAUAGCCAAUUUUUGGUUGGAAAAAAGAUUAACUGAAGCAAAGUUAGAAUGAGGCUUAAGUUUAUCACAGUUUGACAGAACCCUCCUUGCUAAGCUUGUUUGGAAAAUCCAAGCAACCCCUCAGAAUUCUGGGUGCAAGUAUUUCAAGCGCUCUACCCUUUGUAGCUUCAUGGAAGUUAGAAGAGGUGGCAAAAUGUCUUGGGGAUGGAGUAGAGUUUUGGAAGGAGAGAUCCAAUUAAGGAAGGCAGGUUAUAAUAAAUUGCUAAUGGGAAAUCAGUCAAAGUUGGGGAGGAUAGGUUGGUGAAGGAGUGUUGAGACUUGAUGCUACAUCCUUCAAUCUGACUCAGGUGAUAAAGGAAUUAAGAAUGGAGUCUCUAAUUGAUGCGGAUACUAAGACUUGGAACUUAAACCCCAUCAAAGACAGCAUGUGGUAGGAGGAGCAGUGACUGGUGUUGAGCAAUCACAUAAGGUCGAGAUCGAGAAGUUCUGAUGACCAAAUGAUUUGGCCCUAGAACAAGAUUGGUUGUUCUUCAGUAAAGUCUCUACCACUUUACCAUGCAAAAAAGAAAGAAACAUCUACUAAAGCCUAGAUUCUCAAGCUCUCAUACUAUUGAUGGUAUAAUUUGGAAGUUAGCACAGGGAGUCGACUCUCCUCAAGAUAAGACACUUCCUCUAGCAACUUUGCUUGAAUGUUGUGCCUGUUGUUGCUACAUGUGCAAAAGGAAAAAAUAUAGUUUCUCCUGGUGAUGGUGCCCUUAAGAGUUUGUGGCAACAAACUUUCAUUGAACUAAUUUAGUCGUUCUUGACCUUUCACAUAGCGAUGUUUCAGAGAAAUGGAUUGGCUGAAAUCAAAUCAUAAUAUAGUACGAAUCUCACUCCUUGCAUACAUGUAUCAUUCCUUGUCGUUUUUUUUUUCCUACAAAUAAUUUCUUAGUAUAUAUUUUGUUUUGCAGGUGGCAAGUAAACUAGAAGUACUAGAUCUCAACAAUUGCGAAUACUUAAUGAGAACACCUGAUUUAUCUAUGUCGGUGUCCUUGGGGAGAUUUGACUCUUGAAGGUUGCCACAACUUAAUUGAACUUGACCCAUCCAUUGGUAAAUUAAAGCUCCUAACUGCUUUGAACCUGAAGGGAUGUGACUCUUUUCAAGAGUUACGUGAAGAGAUAGGAUAUCUAUAAGCUUUGACAGAGAUUGUCAUGCCUAAUAUGCUACAUGAACUUUGGAAGAGAUUUGGUAAUUUGCAGUCAUUGUUGACCUUUGAUGUAUCACAUUGGUAGAUUAGCAAACUGCCGUACUCGAAAGACUGACUGACAAGUUUUCUCUGUUAUGUACGGUGAACAAGAAGCACUAUCCACAAUCAUUGAGCGACGAAGUAUGGCGUUUGCAGAAAAUAGCAAAGACAGCGCUCUGCACAAGUGCAUGACUUCGAGAGGAAUCAAUACCGUUCAAGAUUUCCUCGAGCUGUACGAAGCAGAUGUGCCUUUCUAAGAAACAAAGUGACUCUUACUCUUCGAGCACUGCUAAUUUCCCUUUUUUCCAGUUCACGUUAUUCUAAGAGUUGUUCAAUAUCAAAUCGUGCUACUUCUUUUGUGUACGAUGUUAUUUCAGGUACUUGGAAAUGGCAUCACCAAGCGGACAUGGGAGACGAUCAUCAGACAUGCCAGCCCGUGUGAUCAAUGAUGACAAGAUGUAUUUCUACCAAGCUUUGAACAAGGCCAGUAUAGUGUUCAAUUAGGUCAUGAAAGUUGCUCAAGCAGCACUCGAUGGCCAAAUUUACCAGUGAGUAGACAUAUUGGCCCACUCUCAGAAGGUACAAAAAUCAUAACCCGAAACAUCUCUAUCUAGUAGCUGAGUGUGAAUCUAUCUGGACCUAUAGAAAGGGCCUGUAUUAUCGGAUUAGUCUGCUUCCAUGGCAGAAUGUAUACCACAAGCACUUUUCUUAAAAAAGUACCUGUUUGAUUUUGAGCUUGAUUGAACCCACUGCUCGGUUGACAGAUUUUGUUGCAGAACUUGAAAUGGCUAGCUUACAAUAACAAGAAUCAAUGGUGGCGCUAGAUGCCCUGCCCAGCGUCUCUCUUCUGAGAGGCCCAACCAAUUUGCCUACAGAGCUGUCAAUCGGCCUGAGCCUGCCUCUUCAUCAUCUAUUUUACAUAGAGCUAAACCAAAGGUAUUGUGGUAUUUCAUCACUUCCAUCUAUCUUUUCCUUUUUGGCCUUCUUAAUAUUUCACAGUUUAGUGUUCCCAUUUCUUUAUUGGCACAUCCACCUUUUUGCACAUAUAUGGUAGCUGAAACUGAAAUGCAUUAUUAUUCAGAUAGACCAAAAGUGACUCCUGAAUUUACUUACUAAUUGGUUUCAGCAUCGUGCUGCUGCAAUGUCACAGAGAUCGGACAAUUAGGUUGUCUGGGGCCACAGUCAUAUCACUGCAAAAAUCUUUGAUCUGACUGUAUUCAACAGUUUGGCAAGGGAGGACUUUUUGUCCAGUUUGAGUGCUGGCGAAAGCAGUCAUCUUCCUGGUUACACACAAGAUCUGUUUGCACCGAACAUCCAUUUGUCUCCUGAAGUGCCAUCUCCAAUCUCUGGCAAUUUAAUGUGGACACCGGAGCAUACUUUCAUCAUUGAGUCGAGCAGCGGGGCAGAUUUUGGGAUCUGCCCAUCUCGCACGGGUUAUGGAGUCCAUAAUUCUAGGAUUGCAAGGCCCAAGGUGGCAUGGUGCAAGAUCCGUGAUGUGGUGAAGUGGGGAUUGGUUCAGCGCGUUGUGCCUGCAAAGAGAAGAGCAAGGUUCAAUUGUGCAAGUUAUCCAGCUGUAUAAAUGGAGAGUCCCAUCCCCCAAAAGGAUUUUGGGUGCUUCAGGAGUGCGAAGCUCUCGCCCACACAAGCCAGUCAUCACAUGCAAAGUACAAAAAAGAAGGAAAUUCAUGAUACUUGAUACAGGAUGCAUCAUCGACUUAGUAUUAUGCAUGAUCACUGCGAUUAUCUCUAUUGUCUUUUGUUGAUUGUCCUUUCAUAUUUGAAUGAAGUUGUGCACCAUCAAGAUGGGGCUACCAAUUGGACGUGUCUUCUCUCUAUAGAUCACGCAAGGUGAUCUUAGGAAGUACCUUAAUACAGGGGUUCUUCCUCAAGAUUUGUAAGGCUUUUGCUCUCUUCUUCAAGAAUUGUUUGGCAUUCUGUUUGUCCCAAAUACAUCAUUCCUUGAUUUGUCAGUUUACUGCUAUGAUAUGCUUAGUAGACUUUUCUUUGCUUUACAAAAUUUGUGAGUAUAUUACUUUGUUUGCGAGAUCCAAAGUUUCUCCUGUCAGCUUUGCUCUUAUUGAUCUGAAAUAUUAAGUGGCAGCUAGUGGAUGAUAUACAUCUCUUGGUGGCUUGGCCAAAUGCCAGUUAGAUACCUUGGCCUUCCCCUGAUUUUGGGAAGGUUAAGAGAAUAGAGUGUAAGCCUUUGGUGGACAAGAUUACUUUUCGAGUGAGUCCUUGGACAAUUAGGCAACUCUGUUGCGCUGAAAGAUUGCAACUCAUUGAGGAAGUAACAGCUUGGUGAAUUUUUGGAGUCGAAUUUUUUUGUUGCCAAAAAAGUCAUCGAUAUUAUGGAAAGCGAGUGUAUUGCCUACCUUUGGAAGGAAAAAUCUGAAAACGCUCGAGGUUCAAAAGUUGCUUGGAUGAUGCAUGUCUCCCCAACUUUAAGGGUGGUUUAGGAUUUGAGGAAAGUGGGGCCUUGAAAUCUUGCUUGUCUAUUGAAGAACUUACGGAUUUUGUUGCAGGCUGGAUCCAUUUGGGUGGCCUGGCUUAGCUGUUUCUUGCUUAAAGGGCAGUCUAUUUGGGCAGUGAAUCCAACUGGCGAGGCAGCUAUGCUUGGAGAAAGUCUACUUGAAGCAAUGUAAAUUAGUAUAUAACAGAUAGUUUCAUUUAAAAUUAAUAUUUGAAAAUUUGAUGGAGCAACGCGAACUUAAUUGUAAUUUGCACUGCAAAGCAUGGCUUGAGUUGUCACUUUUCUUCUUGUCCCAUAUAAAACUCGACCUCACUCACAAUGUGGUUUUGAGAAGACUUUUUGAGAUUUACUACUUGUCAUGUCUUACACAUAAUGGAUGAUGAGACUGGAAAAAUGCAAAGUCAAGAUUUUCAAAUUAUGAUAUGGGAAAUUUAUUCUUACUUUUCAUCACCAAUAUAAGAAGAUGCCCACUGGACUAGAUCUUUGCUAGAAAUGCAUCCCCUCGUAGGACGCGAAUGAUAACAGUUUUGUUCCUCUAUUUUUCUAUUUUUCUAUUCCUAAGAACAGGUUUGGAACAUAAAUCCGUUUAGUGAUGUAAUUUCAUUUUUUUUUAUCUUCAGGACAAAUUUUGCACCUAGAAAUUAGGUUUGGAACAAAAAUGAGAAGUAGAAAAUUUCUACUUUUCUCUUUCUAGAAUGGAAACAAAAAUAAAAACUUUUUUCAUCACUCAUCAUUGUCGCUACCCUCUGCCGGCCGUCGCCGCCCUCCACUGGCCACCUGCCCUCCACCAGCAAUUGGUUGUUGCCCUCCACUCACUACCCACCCGCCAGCUACCAAUCGCAACCUUUCAUCAGCCGUCACCAAGAAAUUUUAAGGCCUAUCAAAUGAAUUUCUAUUUCGAGAACAUAAAUUCUGUGUCGUUAUCAAAUGCAUGUCUUUGUUCAUAAACUCAUCCAAUAAAUAAAAACGGAAAAAUCUAUUUUUGAUAAGAAAAUAUUCUCGGAAACAAAAUGAUUAUCGUUUGCGCCCGAACUUGAAUUUAACCAGAGCAAAUCAUAAUGCAGCGGAAUCCGAAUGGGUUCCAUAGGUAAGUUGAAAGACAAAAGAAAAAGAAAAAAAAAAUAGAAAGUUGAAAGGUCAAUGUCCCCAAGACAUGUCGGUGGGAGCUUAGGCAAAAUUUUGAAAAACAAAAGCGAGGCAAUUUUUGCCGAGCAAACCUGAAAUGCAGUUGAUCACUUCGUCUCAAUUGCUCUCAGCUCACCUGUGACAUGGCCGUUGGACGAUGACCACAUACGUCUCACGUUCCACGUUCCACGUUCCUUUUUUACGAAUCCUUCAUAGAGGAUCAACGUCCAAUAGAUCGUCAGCGUAAUCUGGAGUAGAGUUUCCCAUAUCUAAAGGUUGAAACCGCAUUUUCUUGAAAACGUCGUCCGCCCCUCUUCUCCAUUCCCAUCACGAUCUACAUCGUACACCACCAAAAAUUAGUCCACAAAAUGCAUAAGUGAGAUAGCUAGUAUAAGCACCUAGAGGGGGGGUGAAAGGUGCACAAACAAAUUUUCGAGAUACGGAAGCGAUUCUAGGCAAACGAUAGAAAGGAAAAUACGAUCAAAGUAAAGUAAAGGUUAGGGAAGAGAGAAAUGAACACAAGAUUUAUAGUGGUUCGGCUUAUUCCAAGCCUACGUCCACUCUUCCGCACUAACAGCCCACCAACUGGAUUUCACUAUGAACAAAAGAGAAGUUAUAGCACAGCUUUUCCUUGAUUCCACAGUGUAGAUGUUCUACCACACUUCCUCAAAGUUUCUCACGAAUAUAGACUCUCUUUUGUUUACACGAUUUUGCUCAACAAAUUAAUUGACUAGGAACAAAGAGCUUCAGACUUUGGAAUUCUUCUCUCGUGCACGCUCUCGAACAACUGGAACGUCUUCCUUAUAUACUCCUUCAUGCCAUCAUACCCGUUGGCACUUACCAAAGGAAUUCCUCCAAUUUACCCGUUGGACGGAAUCAAUUAGGAAGAUCAUUCGAGCUAUUAAAGGAACAUGUCGAUAGCCCAUCAAUCAUGUUCGCCCAUACAAUCAGGAUCUCAGUUUCCAUAAGUAGAACCUUCCAAGUAUACUUUGCCAAUCAUCGGAUCCUUAAUCUUCGAAUCAACUAUGAUCAAAUAAAGGAUUCCGUUAUGUCAUAUCCAGCCAAGAGAUCUUCUCCAGACGAUAAGGCCACAUCCUUAAUGAAACAUCCAGUUCUGGAUAACCUUUGUUCAACGGAUUAGAAACUGUCAAUGAGGAUAGACUUUAAGUCUUGAGUCUGGCUGUCCGGAGGUCUUCAGACUUUAAAUAGCAGAGUUUGCAAGCCUUCAGACUAGACUGAUGGAAAUGUUUUGUCAACUUCAAAACACUUCAAGAGGAUUUCUCCAACAAUCUCCUCCUUUUUUAUGGUGACAAAACUUUCCUGCAGAUUUGGAAAAGUUUGACCUGCAAAACAUUUCUCAAACACAUAUGCAUAUCUUAUAGAGAUAAAUGGCUAAAUGAAUAACACUAGAAUCUGCAGCCACAGAAAAUAGGUUAGUCCAGUAUGCAAUAAAGCCAUCCAUAAGAUAUCAAUAGUAGUUAAUAAUAAGCAGUCAAAUCCAAAUCCCAAAUUUAGUCCACAUCCAGACACACAAGUUAAGUCAAAACAAACCAAAAGUUCGACAAAUUUAAGUUCAAAGUUUUUUAAGUCUCGCAACUCUCCCCCUUUUUGUCAGCAUAAAAAGAUUGAGAUGAAAAUGGAGUCAAGAAUGCUUGGGAACACGAACAAGCUGGAAAUCUCCCAUCGAUUGAACGAUGCCUUCCAGCCUUUUAAAGUCUUUCUUCAGCUGAGCAACAUCCUCACCCUUAGCAUUAGCCUGAAUCUGAAGAGAAAGGGCUUGGAUUUGAUCAUUUAAUGAACCCGAAGAAACUUGUCCUGCAUUCUGCAAGUUUUGAAUUUCGCAUCCCAAUGCAUAUAUCUGACCUUGCAUCUCCAAGAGAAUAUCUAUCACUCUACGAAAGUCUGCUGAAUUUUCGGUUUGCGUACUGGCAUUAGCACGAUCUGAUGGAGUAAAUGCAGACGAUGGUAGAUCAACAUAAUCACGCAGAUUUGGCGAAGAAACCUCAUGUCCUUCCUCAGGAAAUUGAGAGGCAAAAACCUCCUCUGGAUCUGUUGGGGAUCGACUGACUCCCUCACUGGUUGCAGGAUUUGAGGACAUUCCUCUUUUCUCUUGGUCUCCCCCUGUGUUCAUGCCUUCAGGUGGAGAGUGCUCCUCAUGUUCUCCUUCUUCUUGAUCUCUUUUCUCUUCUUCUUCUUUUUCAACUCUCUCUUUCUCAGCAUCUCUUUCUUCUUCUUCUUCUCUUUCCUCAGUUUCUUUUUCCUCUGCUUCUUUCUCUGCUCUUUCUUCUGUCUGUUGUUCUAACUCUUUCUCUGGAACAGAUCAACUGAGAUUCUUCAAAGCCAUUGCAGAAAUAGUGAUGUUAUCCUCAUCAUCUUCAUCCUCAACGAGAAGAGCUCUUCUUCUCUUGGAUGGAGCAUCCAUGGGCUCCUUCCCUUUCCUUUUUCCUGCAGAAGAGAAUUGAUGAGAUUUGACUGGAGUCUUUUCCUUAAAUUUCUCCAAUGCCUUGCUUAGUUCCUUCAGACGCAUCUUGGUCACCAUUUUCAGUCCUACCACCAUAUGAUCGCACGAUCGAGCACAAAGAAUUUGCGGAGGCUGAAUGUUCAGAUGUCUGAAUAACUUCGUCACAAGACCUGGAUAAGGAAGUUGUCCUAUGUCCUUCAUCACAGCUCUACACAUGUGGAACAUAACAGUGUGAGGAAGUGAAAACCUUUUCCUAGUGAUGAUGGCAUACAUUAGCUUUGCCUCUGAACUUGAGACAUCAGUCUUGGAAGUUGAUUUCGGUNNNNNNNNNNNNNNNNNNNNNNNNNNNNNNNNNNNNNNNNNNNNNNNNNNNNNNNNNNNNNNNNNNNNNNNNNNNNNNNNNNNNNNNNNNNNNNNNNNNNNNNNNNNNNNNNNNNNNNNNNNNNNNNNNNNNNNNNNNNNNNNNNNNNNNNNNNNNNNNNCAUCUGCCAGCAUAUCCAUAUCCACUACAAAGUCUUGAUCUUUGACAUUGAAGGAGAAUCUAUUCGCAUCCAAGAAACUAAGAUUUGAAUAGAAAUAUGUAGUUAGUUGAGGAUAGGCCUCUGUGGUGUCAGAGCAGAAUUUUUCAAGUUGAAGAUGACCGAACUUUUCCCUCAAGUUCACAUUUACAGCAUCUAGAAAGUCAAAAUCCACACUCCUAGGGUUUAUCACCCCACGCUUCAGCAAUUUUGAGUAUAGAUCCUUAUGUUCCUUCGAUCUAAACAACUCUCCCCUUUUUCCUCGAUUUUCCGCUGCAACUCCCAUUCUUGGUUGAAAUUGGCUGUAUAAUUUGUCAUCAUCAUUUCCAUCUACCGAAUUAAAUCCCUAAUCACGAGGGUCACUUGGGAUAUUCGCAAGGGUUUCUUCUGCCACCCCUUUACGAGCAAUUCCCAAACUUUCCAUUUUUCGCAAAAAGAUAUAUUCAUUUCCUUAAGAAAAUCAUCGACAUAGUUCAAUGGAGUACCGGUCCCUUUUAAAGCACGAUACAGCUUAUAAAUAAAAGAGGGCCUUUGAACUCUUACAGGGUCUGCAUCUUCAAUGAUUUCUUCAUUUUGAUGAUGAUCAACAUCUUGAGGACUAGAUGGAGGAAAAUGACGCUGCUGAGAAUGUUGUGGGCUAUGCUGCUGAUUUGGAGACACUUCUUCUUCAGUGAGAUCGAAGUGCGUAGGCCCCUCACUCAUUCGCCGUGGUCCCCUGCUUGCGAUCCUCAAAGACUUUCUUGAAGACGACAUCUUUCUUAGUCUUUGAAAGAUUCCUUGCUUGACUUUCCCAAGAAAGAUGACAACUUUUUCGAAGAUUAAACAAGAGAAGAAAAUAGGAAUGGAAGAUUGGUGCUUUUUAGGGUUUUGGAGUUAAGCGAGGAGAAACUGAUUGUAUAUAAGACAGUCGAAAUGAGAGGAUACCAAACGUCGUAAUGGAAAGUGAAAAGAUGCCUUUUAAAAAAAUAUCUGCCUUUUUCGAAAAAAAAGUCACAUCAAAAUAACUCAUUUUUCUAAAGGAAACGUUGCAAUAAUCUCGUCAAUUAAAGAUAGCGGUUGAGAUAACAAUAAUCAACACGGUUGAUGAACGUACCUUUUCAAGAUGAGAUUAGAGAGAGAGAAUAACUUACAGUCAAAGUCUUAUUUGUCUGAGUCUGAGAGUCUCUAGACUUUAACUUCUUCAAACCUCAAAAUGUUGAGUCUUGAACGGAUAAUUUCAAAUUGAUUUUUCUCCAAAGGCUUUGUAAAUAUAUCCGCCAGUUGGUUCUUUGAGUCAACAAACCGAAUCGUAAUUUCUCCAUUUUGAACAUGAUCUCUAAUGAAGUGAUGUCGAAUCUCUAUAUGCUUUGCUCUUGAGUGAAGAAUUGGAUUUUUGGUGAGAUUGAUUGCGCUGGUGUUGUCACAUUUAAUCUCCAUGCAUGAAUCUUCAAUUCCAAAGUCUCUUAGCUAUUGUUUUAUCCACAAAAUUUGUGAACAACAACUUCCAAGAGCUACAUAUUCUGCUUCUGCUGUAGAGAGAGCUACUAUACUUUGCUUCCUUGAAAACCAAGACACUGUCCUGCCUCCAAAUAGUUGACAAGUACCUGAGGUGCUCUUUCUAUCAACUCUACAUCUGGCUAAGUCUGCGUCUGAGUACCCAAGAAGAGUAAAGUCUCCCCUUUUAGGAUACUAGAGACCGAAGCUUGAAGUUAAUGCAAUAUAUUUGAUAAUACGCUUUGCAGCAUUUAAAUGUGAUUCUUUAGGGUCUGCUUGAAAUCUGGCACAAAAGCAAACACUAAACAAAAUGUCAGGUCUAGAAGCAGUAAGAUAAAGAAGUGAACCGAUGAUACUCUUGUAUAACUUUUGGUCGACUUUCUUUCCUCCUUCAUCUUUAUCUAUCUUCAAGGAAUUUGACAUUGGUAUAUUGGCCUUUUUGCAAUUGUCCAGUCCAAACUUCUUCACAAUAUCAUUAGCAUAUUUUCUUGAUGAAUAAAAGUUCAUUCCUUCAGUUGUUUCACUUGAAGUCCAAGGAAGAAGGUUAACUCACCCAUCAUGCUCAUUUCAAAUUCAUCCUGCAUAGUCUUAGAGAAUUUCUUGCACAGACUUUCAUUAGAGGAUCCAAAAAUAAUAUCAUCGACAUAUAUUUGAACAAGUAGAAAACUCUUGCUUUCUCUUUUAAUGAAAAGAGUAGUGUCUACUUUACCUUUAACAAAUCCAUUUUCAAUUAAAAACUUACUCAGUCUGUCGUACCAAGCUCGAGGUGCUUGUUUCAAGCCAUAUAAAUCAUUUUUGAGUCUGAAUACUGAGUCUGGUUUCCUUGGGUCUUCAAACCCAGGUGGUUGUUCCACAUAGACUUCCUCUUGGAUGAAUCCAUUUAGGAAGGCACUUUUGACAUCCAUGUGGAAUAACCUGAAAUUCUUAUAACAAGCAAAAGCAAGUAAUAAUCGAAUUGCUUCUAACCUUGCUACUGGUGCGUAAGUCUCGUCAUAGUCUAUCCCUUCUUCUUGUGUGUAUCCCUUGGCCACGAGUCUUGCCUUGUUUCUUAUGACUUUUCCUUUCUCGUUCAUCUUGUUCCUAAAAACCCAUUUAGCUCCAAUAACAGACUUACCUUUUGGUUUAGGAGUUAAUUCCUAGACAUCAUUAAUACUGAAUUGCCUGAGCUCUUCUUGCAUAGCUUCAAUCCAGCUUUCAUCAAAUAAAGCUUCUUCUAUGCUUUUGGGUUCUAUUUCAGAAACAAGAGCCACAACACUAGACUCUUCGCGCCUUUUAGAUCUUGUGCGAAUUCCUUCAUUGAUGUCACCAAUAAUAAGAUCUUUGGGAUGACUGGACUUAUGUUUCCAGUUGCUGGUUAAUUUGUCAGAUUGAUGGUCACUUCCUUCACUUGAAUCUUCAACAGUCACUUGUUGCUGGUCCUUCAAAGUCUGAGCUAUUUUAGACUUUGUAGAAUCUGGAGUAGGUUCAGAUUCUUCAAGAUGAGUUUGAAUGGAUUCAUUUUGCAUAGAAUCUUGGAAUUUAACAUUCAUUGAUUCUUCCACUAUUUGAGUCUUCUUGUUGUAGACUUUGUACGCUUUGCUUGUGGUUGAAUAUCCAAGGAAGAUGCCUUCAUCUGACUUUUCUUCAAACUUACCAACUCGAUCAUUUGCAUUUUUCAGUAUAAAACAUUUGCAUCCAAAUACAUGAAAAUAUGAAACAAUAGGCUUCUUUUCUUUGAAUAGUUCAUAAGGGGGUUUUUUCCAUAAUAGGCCUUAGAAAAACUCUAUUUAUAAUGUAACAUGCUGUAGAAAAACUGCUUCAGCCCAAAAACGUGAAGAGAUGUUACUUUCAAUUAAAAGAGUUCUAGCCAUUUGUUGAAGUGAUCUAUUCUUUCUUUCCACAACUCCAUUUUGCUCUGGAGUAUAUGGAGAGGAGAAUACAUGCUGAAGACUAGAUUCAUCAUAGAAUUUUGUAAAAUCAUGAUUUUCAAACUCACCUCCAUGAUCUAUUCUUAUACUCGAGAUAACAUACCCUUUUUCAUUUUGAACUUUUUUAGCAAACUUUUCAAAGUAAGAGAAAGUUUCAGACUUACUUGCCAAGAAAUAUACCCAAGUAAAUCGUGAGUAAUCAUCCACAAUUACUAGGCAGUAUUUCUUACCUCCAAUGCUUUGUGUUCUGGUUGGUCCAAAAAGAUCCAUAUGCAGAAGCUGCAGUACACGGUUAGUGGAAACUUGAUUUAUUGGUUUAAAGGAAUUUCUUACCUGUUUUCCCAAUAUACAUGGUGUACAUAGAUCAGACUUUUGGUAUGAUAAUUUGGGUAGACCACGAACAAGCUUCUUUGCUGCGAUUUUGGCUAUUUGCUUCAUAUUGACGUGCCCAAGCUUUCUGUGCCAUAAAUUUGCUUCGUCUUGGAUUGAGAUUAGACAUUGUGAUUCAUCUGGUUUCACAUCCAAGAGGUAGAUAUUUCCAUGUCUUCGUCCCAUGAAUGACUGAGUAGAAUCUUUACUAAUUCCUGAACAUAUUCCCUCUUGAAAGUUGAUUUUGAAACCAGUAUCACAUAGCUGACUAAUACUGAGCAAAUUGUAGUUAAGCCCUUCCACUAAGGAAACAUUGCUAAUUGUGAGAUUUCUAAUCUUUACAGUUCCAAAUCCCACAAUUUUUCCUUUGCUGUUUCCUCCAAAAGAGACUUUUCCACCAUUCACUCGAACAAGCUUUAUGAAGUAAUUUGAGUCUCCUGUCAUAUGUCUUGAGCAUCCACUAUCCAGAUACCAUUUUACCUUUUUCUUGAUAGUGACCUGCAUUUAAAAAAGAAACUCAAACUUCUUUGGUACCCAUAUUUUCUUGGGUCCAUUGGUGUUAGUAUGAUAUGCGGUUUUUGCCCAUACCUUUUUAACAGGUUUCCAAAUCAUAGGACAUUCUUUUUCAAAAUGAUCUGCACUAUUGCACUUUGAGCAUCUGAGAGUAUUGCGACCUACUGGUUUUACAAAGAUCCUUUUAAAAUGAUUUUUGUAAGUAUCUCUUGUGGGUCUUUGUUUGAUUCUUUCCUUCACUUUAGGAAAAUCAAUUAAAGGAAUGGUUUCAGCAGUCAUUCCCAAACCAGAUUUAUUAAAAUAAGGUCUUUGAACAGAGAGAAUUUUUUCUAGUUUCUCAGAUCCUAUAGAAAAUCUUUUGAAAAUAUUUGAGAUAUCACUUUUCAAGAAUGCAUUUUCUUUUAAAAGAUUAUCUUCACUUUCUUUAAGAGAAGAAACAUUCUUGUCUAAACUUUUCACUUUUUCUUUCAAAAUAUUUUCCUGUUGUUUUAGAGCAGAAUUUUCCUUCUUGAGUUCGGAAAUUCUUUUAAGAGAAGUCUUAAGACUGAAACAUAAUUUAUCAAUGUACUUUGAAACCUUAAUAGGGAUUUUGAAGUUACUUACCUCAAAUUCGCUUUCUGAAUCUGAAUCUGUCUCGGAAUUUGAAUCUGAAUCCGAUUGUGCCAUCAGACAUAUAUUGGCAUAAUCAUCAUCACUUUCUUCACACUCUGUAUCACUCUAGGUUUCAGCUUUAAGAGCUUUUCGGUACUUUUCAGUUUUUCCUUUCUCCUUCCUCAGAAGAGGACAGUUGGGUCUGAUGCGUCCCUUUUUCUUACAUUCAAAGCAGACUACAUCUUUGUUUGAUUCAUCAUCCUCAACAGACUUAGUCUGUUGUUUUUGAAAACUUUGUUUCAUUGGAUUGAAUUUUCUUCCUUUUCUGUUCAGUUUUCUGAAUCUUCUUAUCAUGAGAGCAAGUUCCUCAUCAUCCAUAUCGUCUUCAGAAUCUAUAACAUCAGAAUCAUCAUUAGAUUUUAAUGCAAUGGAUUUCUUACCUUUAGGGUCUUCGUCUUCAUUGAUUCGUUCCACUUCAUAAGACUGAAGAGUCCCAACCAACUCAUCAACAAAUAUUGGCAUGAUUCUUUGGGUCUCUCUGAUUGAGGUCUUUAUGUGAUUCCAAUCCUUGGAAAGUCCACGCAGUAGCUUGUUUACUUUCAUGGGUCAGAAAUUGGUUGACCUUGAUUUUCAAGACCAUUCACGAUUUCUGUAAAGCGACUAAAUAUAUCAAUUAUAGAUUCUCCUGGUUUCAUUUUGAAGGCUUCAUAUUGACCGAGGAGAAUGUUGAUUCUAGUCUCUUUCACUCGAUCGAUUCCUUCAUAGGUAAUAUGUAAUCUAUCCCAAACUUCUUUAGCUGUAACACAAGAAGAUAUUAUGUUAUAUUCAGUAGGGGAUAAAGCACAAUAUAAAGAAUAAAUUGCUUUUGCAUCAAGAGCUUGUCUCUUGAUUUUCUCUUCCUGAGUCAUUUCGCUAGACUCAACAGCAUCUUUUCCUCUUUCUGAGACAGAUGCAGCUUUAGGAAUGAUUCCUUUUUCUACAACGUCCCAUUCCAGAGGAUCCUUUGAUCUUAGGAACACUUUCAUCUUGUUUUUCCAUAUGUUGUAAUCAUUUCCAUCAAAGUAAGGUGGUCUGGUAUUGCUUUGCCCUUCUACCAGUCUUGGAGCCAACAUACUAGCCAUGGAUCUUUAACUCUGAAGUAAAACACUUCAACCAAAGUGAGUACAUAGGCUCUGAUACCAAUUGAGAUAACUAGUAUAAGCACCUAGAGGGGAGUGAAUAGGUGCACAAACAAAUUCUCGAGAUACGGAAGCGAUUCUAGGCAAACGAUAGAAAAGAAAAUACGAUCAAAGUAAAGUAAAGGUUAUGGAAGAGAGAAAUGAACACAAGAUUUAUAGUGGUUCGGCUUAUUCCAAGCCUACGUCCACUCUUUCGCACUGACAGCCCAUCGGCUGGAUUUCACUAUGAACAAAAGAGAAGUUACAGCACAGCUUUUCCUUGAUUCCACAGUGUAGAUGUUCUACCACACUUCCUCAAGGUUUUUCACGAAUAUAGACUCUUUUUUGUUUACACGAUUUUGCUCAACAAAUGAAUUGACUAGGAACAAGGAGCUUCAGACUUUGGAAUUCUUCUCUCGUGCACGCUCUCGAACAACUGGAACGUCUUCCUUAUAUACUCCUUCAUGCCAUCAUACCCGUUGGCACUUACCAAAGGAAUUCCUCCAAUCUACCCGUUGGACGGAAUCAAUUAGGAAGAUCAUUCGAGCUAUUAAAGGAACAUGUCGAUAGCCCAUCAAUCAUGUUCGCCCAUACAAUCAGGAUCUCAGUUUCCAUAAGUAGAACCUUCCAAGUAUACUUUGCCAAUCAUCGGAUCCUUAAUCUUCGAAUCAACUAUGAUCAAAUAAAGGAUUCCGUUAUGUCAUAUCCAGCCAAGAGAUCUUCUCCAGACGAUAAGGCCACAUCCUUAAUGAAACAUCCAGUUCUGGAUAACCUUUCUUCAACGGAUUAGAAACUGUCAAUGAGGAUAGACUUUAAGUCUUGAGUCUGGCUGUCCGGAGGUCUUCAGACUUUAAAUAGCAGAGUCUGCAAGCCUUCAAACUAGACUGAUGGAAACGUUUUAUCAACUUCAAAACACUUCAAGAGGAUUUCUCCAACAAUAAGAAAUUGCAUGGCGAAGAUGUCGCAAAGAUAAAUUCGACAUUAAAACUGGAAAAAGGAGCCAAAUGCCAAUGUUCCCACAAAUAUGAGAGCUCACCAUUAGGGAUGGGCAUGGGGGCAAGUCCAAUUCCCAGCCGGCGAACUAGGAACCUGCGCCAUCCCUGUCCCAUUCCCCAUGUGGGGCAGGGCGGUUCACCGGCGGUUCCGUUGAAAGGGCGGCAGAGAGUAAGAUAGAGAGAGACUGUAUUAACACAGUGCCAAAAAUUUUGCUUUAAUUCCCACUUGUAUCCGUGUAUUAAAAUAGAGCGGGAGGUACACUCAAGUCAACGCUUAGCGAGCCAUACCAACAUUGUCCCUAACAUUGUCCGUAGCGAGCCAAACCAACAAGUACCGACGCCCAGAGCUUAAUGGAUAAUUAGCGAAGACACUCAAGUCAACGCUCUAAAGUCAAACCUGAAACUGAAUACACCGCGAAAAACUAAAGGGCCGUUUGAGGAACUAAAGAAUUGACUACUCAGGAUGAGUUCAAAGAGAGUAGCCUGGUCAACUUCGACAAACUCAGCGACCCAGGCCUUUGAGGACGUCCUCGAUGGUGCCAUCUUCGGACUUGGCAAACUCGGCGUGCUUCUUGCAGUACUCGAUUGACAUUGAAGUACAAUCGCAAUCUGAGGAACCAUGGUCACCACUGCGAAUUCACACCAAUGGGAGAGGCAAGGACACAAAUGCAGUCGAUGAGGAAGAUCACCCUUGGGAGCUCUGACGGUGAUCCGUUCGAGGUCAACGAGGCUGUGGCCGACGAGUCAUAGAUGAUCAAGCACAUAUACUCACCCUCUUUAUGCACAAUUGUGGCUGAUGUUUUAUCCCAUGUACUCAACAAUGCUCUGUAGGAGUGUUAGCGUCAGGGAAUUAAGCUUAAAAAGGAGAGCCCUGAGCCCACCUUCUCUUUACAUAUGGCUUCCUAUUCUUUGUUGUUGCUAACCCUGUUUGAACUGCGGAUGUUCCAAAAAGAUUGUUGACUGUAUUGCACUCUAUCCGUAGGAUUAUCUUGCAAAAAUCCUGUAUAUGCUUCAGUGCUAACACGGGUGCAGAGUUGAGAACAGAGGUAAGCACAGUCCAGGGAAUCAAUGUUAUUCAGAACCCUGGUAACUAUUUGGGUCUACCUAUUCUAUGAGGUAGAUCUAAACGUGAAGCUCUUGGCUUUGUGAAGGAAAAAGUCUUGAAAAGAAUGCCGAGCUGGAAAACUAAAUUGGUCUCACAAGCUAGUAGGGAGAUUAUGGUAAAAAUAGUGGCUUAUGCAGUACCAACUUAUUCCGUUGUCUUAUUUCAAGUUUCCAAAGAAGUGGCUUGAGGUCGUUGAUGCAGCUAUAGCCAAUUUUUGGUGGGGGUAAGCAGAAUAAUGAAGGGAAAGUGCAUUGGAAGAAUAGGGAAAGCUUAACUGAAGCAAAGUUAGAAUGAGGCUUGGGUUUUAGAAAUUUUCAUAGUUUAACAUAACCCUCCUUGCUAAGCUUGCUCGGAGAAUCCAAAGCAACCCCUCAGAAUUCUGGGUGCAAAUAUUUCAAGCGCUCUACUUUCCCCUUUGUAGCUUCAUGGAAGUUAGAAGAGGUGGCAGAAUGUCUUGGGGAUGGAGUAUAGUUUUGGAGGGAGAGAUCUAAUUAAGGAAGGUGGGUUAUGGUAAAUUACUGAUGGGAAGUCAGUCAAAGUUGGGGAGGAUAGGUUGGUGAAGGAGAGUUGAGACUUGAUGCUCAUCCUCUAAUCCGACUCAGGUGAAAAAGUAAUUAAGAAUGGAGUCUCUAAUUGGUGCAGAUACUAGGACUUGGAACUUGACCCCCAUUAAAGACAUCAUACGGCAGGAGGAGCAGUGAUCGGUGUUGAGAAAUCUCAUAAGGUGGAGAAGCUCCGAUGACCAACGAUUUGGCCCCGGAACAGGAGUGGUGGUUCUCCAAUAAAGUCUACCACUUUACUAUGCAGAAAAGAAAGAAACAUCCAAGCCUAGAUCCUCAAACUCUCAUACUAUUGAUGGUAUAGUUUGGAAAUUAGCACGGGUGUUGACUCUCCUCUCACGAUAAGACACUUCCAUUGGCAACUUUGCUCGAAUGUUAUGUCUGCUACUGCUAAUCCAUGCAAAAGAAAAGAAUAAAGUUUCUCUUGCUUGUGUUCUGCUUUGAGAUUAUAUCUGUUGAGCAUUUAUACUCAAUUGCUUAAAGUUGAAAAUCCAAAAAACGAAAUGAUUCAGAUAGCCAAAGGACUCAUCAUUUGUUUAAAUUUGGAAAAAAGAAAAGAAAAGAAAAGACAGAAAAUCAAACUUUUACAUGAAAAGUCAGUGCAACUCAGCAGCAAAAUUUUGUUGCUGUGCAAAGUUGUCUCCAAGUAAAAUUUAGAGGAAGAUAAAUAUUUCUCACGGAAGAGUGGAUGGUAAGCAAGAUGGAAACUUUCCAGAGUUUCACCUCGAAGAGUGAUAAUCCGAUCAGUGACACCUCUCCUUCAUGGAUGGGCUUGUUUUCUAAUUUGAAGUGCUCGUUUUGCGUGCCAAUAGAUUUCAUUGAGCCAUAAAACAGCUCAAAGCUCAUUACCAAUUUCAUACAUAUCUUUGUUUGGUCAUAUCUAAUGUUAGUAACUCUCAAUGUUCAUCGUAAUUUCCCUAGACUUUGCUAUACCCAUCAAUUUACGUUCAUUAACUUGGUGGUGAGAAUAUGUAAGAUUUUGUGUCAUGGACAUAUUACAUCCGUUGUGAGUGUUAGAUAGGCUAUGGUACUAUUGAAUUAGUUUGUGCUAGUUGACACAAGUUUUCGCUCGAGUCUUCUCGUUCAAUUAAGAAAAUUUGAGAUCAAAUUUGAUGGAGUUUGACCCCCGAAGCAAAAAUAUUGAUAUUGCAUAGUCUUACUUUUGCAAUUCCCAACUCCAUUUCUUCGCAUUUAAAUAUUAAGGACAUUUAAAUUUUGGGUAUAAAGUGUUCUCGUCGAACAAAGCAUGGAUCAAAGAGUUUCAUCGGGAUUGGCUCGAUGGAUGGUUUAAUAUGCAAAAAAUGAGCCCUGAAAUCCCUUGAGGUUCCAAAAUCAGGCCUGCGCGAGGACGGCCCUAAGCAAAUCAAACUAGGCCCAAUGAAUGGAAAGGAAGCGCGGCCAUCUAAGGACAAUAAGGGAAAUUCAAAUUGGCCAACACCCAUUUUCGAAGCCCACGCAUAGUUUUUUUUUUUUUUGAACGAAAGGUCGACUUUCAUUACUACUAAAAACCCUUACAACCCGCGGCAAGAGCGUCCGCGCAUAAAAGAUUGAAAAGAGGAGAGGGCAGACGAAUGGCCCAAUUAUCAGACAAAGAUGUGCCCGUAUGGGCCUUGCAAGCCCAGUCAGCAACCGAAUUCGCCUCUCUACAGCAAAACCCUAACUUGAGAUUGGGAAAUAGGGUUAGAAGGAAAGCAGCUUCGGCGAAGAGAGAUCGAUCGCGCCAUGGCGGCUGGGAGCGACGAUUCAGCGUUUCCACAACAGUGAGGUUAUCUGAUUCAACGAUUAGUGCUGCAGUUUGAAGGCCUUGCUGCAAUAGGUGACGAAGCGAGUAAGAGAGGGCUUGAAUCUCGACCUGGAGAGCAGAGACAGCCACGACACGUACGGAGAAGCCAUCGGUAAGUCUACCUUGAUGAUCCCUGCAAAUACAAGCAAUCGUACCAUAAUUUCUCCCUUGAUGGAAAGAACCAUCGAGAUUGACCUUCAAAACUCCGAGAUCUGGAGGACGCCAUAGAUGGGAUCUAUUUCUAAUGGAACUCCUUUGAUGCAGAGAGGGAGAUGAAGAUAAGCGAUCAACUUGGGCGUGAGUCAGUGCCGCCUCUACGACCUGCUUUGGAUUAGGAUAAGAACCGCGGAAGACAAAGGCAUUCCGAGCACGCCAGAUCUGCCACAGAAUGUUAGUAAUGAAGGCCAGCCGGGUUAAGCGAUGGCCGUCGCCAAUCGUUGUCACAAUCCAUGAGUCCAGACGCUGAAUGCGAGUUGGAAGGACUGAAAUCCCAAUCUGUGAGUGAUUCCACACUCUUUGAGUCCAUGAACAGAGUAAGAACAAAUGCUCUAAUGUUUCUGGAUUCUUACUUUUGCAUAAAGUGCAACAAGGAUUGUCUAAUAUAUGUCUGCGAUGCAGGUUUUCUCGCGUCGCCAAAGCAUUACUACAAAGUGACCAGAGAAAGACUCGGAGCUUAGGUGCAGCAGGCAUCUUCCAGAGAUUACGCCAUAACCAGGUAGGAAGUUGAUACGAAGUAGACGCAGUUGCAGUGACUGUACUUAAUUGUGUCUGAUGGAUUGCGUGAUAUGCUGAUUUGACUGUGUAAACUCCCUGUUUAGUUGCUGUCCAUAUAAGUGCAUCUGAAGUGAAGUUAGGUCGAAUUGGAAUGUCUGUGAUCUGUUGAAUGAUUGGCUUGUCGAAAAUGCUGUGUAAUAAAUCAACCUUCCAUGAACUGGUGGUCUGGUCAAUAAGAUCAGCUACUAGUGUAGGUUCAGCAGGGGCUCUAGGUCCACCGAGAAUUCCCAUAGGAAGCCAGCGAUCUUCUCUAAUAUUAAUACAUGUUCCAUCUCCCACAGACCAAGUGAUGUGUGGUAAAAUUGCAUUCCUCCCACAUAAUAAGCUCUGCCAACCCCAUGAGGGCCGAAUACCUUUGUUUGCUUUUAAAAAAGUGGAAGAAUGAUAAUAUAAACCCUUAAAAAACUUACUCCAUAAUGAUAAUGGUUGAUGCAAUAGACGCCAAGCUUGCUUACCAAGCAUAGCAUGAUUAAAACUCACCAGAUCACGAAAACCCAAUCCACCUAGCUCUUUUCUUUGCUGAAGAUUUUUCCAACUCUGCCAAGGAAUUCCAGAUCUACUUGUAUCAUUACUCCACCAGAAUUUUGCCAUUCUUUUCUCAAUAACUUUACAUAAUGAUAUGGGAAUCUUAAACACAGACAUUGCGUAUUGAGGGAUAGAUUGAAUAACUGUCUUUAAUAAAACCUCUUUUCCACCCUUUGACACUAGUUUCUCCUUCCAUCCUUCUAAUUUCAAAUGAACUCUAGUCAACAGCCAGGAAAACAUAUCCUUUUUAGAUCUUCCCCAGUCAGUAGGAAUGCCUAGGUACUUCCCACAGCGCUGUAAAAUUGGUACCCGUAAUGCACCUGCAAGAUUUUCCUGGAGAGAUGUAGGGCAACAAGGACUAAAGAAAACACCAGACUUGUUUCGAUUGAUCAUUUGUCCUGAAGCCAAGCAAUAUUGAUUCAAUAUAUUGGAAAGAUUCUGACACUCCAGCAAGGUACCAUUAAGAAAAAACACUGCAUCGUCAGCGAAAAAGAGGUGCGAUAGAGUAGGACACCAUUGAUUCAGUUGGAUUCCUGUGAGCGAGCCCAUAUUCAUAGCAUUCCUAAUUAGGAAAGAUAAAAGAUUUGCGACAAUGAUGAACAAGUAAGGGGAAAGAGGAUCUCCCUGCCUCAGACCACGGGUUGGGUGGAAAGUCGGUAAAAAUUCCCCAUUCAUUUUAAUUGAGAAAGAUGGCGUGGAAAUGCACUGCAUAAUAAGAUUAACCCAAUGAGAAUGGAAGCCCAAGUGAAGUAAAUAAUCGCGAAGAAAGUCCCAUUCAACACGGUCAUAAGCUUUCUGCAUAUCUAACUUGAGUAUUGCUUUAAAAUGACGCCUACUUUUCCGUGUCUUGAGCUGAUGAAUAACUUCCUGUACAAUUAGAACAUUGUCUUGAAUUUGUCUGCCAGCAACGAACGCACUCUGUUCUUCAGUAAUCAGCAGAGGCAGCAAUGGUUUCAAGCGAUUAGCCAGCACCUUAGAAAAGAUUUUAUAGGCAUAGUUACAGAGACUAAUAGGGCGAUACUGAUCCAAGCUUUCCGGGUUUGGGGUUUUAGGAAUUAGAGUGAUAGCAGUUUUGUUUAAAGAUGGAGGUAGUAUACCAGAAGAAAAGAACUGAAGAACUGCUCUGUGUAUAUCAACUUUGAGAAUUUCCCAAUGUGAUUGAUAAAAUAAGCCACUUAAACCAUCCGGGCCCGGUGCCUUGGAAGCACCUAAUUGAAAGGUAGCAACUUGAACUUCUUCAAGGGUGGGUGGAGCUAGGAGAGUUGCAUUCAUUGUUGCAUCAAUCAUGUGUGGACAUUGGUCUAAAAUCUGUGCAUAAGGUCUAGGCCCAGAGGUAGUAUAAAGCUGAGAGAAGUAGUUAGUGGUCAUUUCUUUAAUGUGUUCAAUAUCCCUAACCCAUUCCUGAGAUUCAUUCCUCAACAUACUAAUUUGAUUGCGAUGCCGUCGUUGAAUAGUGGUAGCAUGAAAGAACUUAGUGUUACGAUCUCCCCAUUGUAACCAGUUGAUCCUAGAUCGCAUCGCCCAAUAUUGCUCUUCCUUCUGCCAUGUUUGCUGAAGUUCAAGUUUAAUCUUUUGUUGCUGGGAUUGAUUCAGUAUAGUAGGAUGCUGGUUUGAUAAAAUCUGUAACUGAUGUUCUAAUUCAAUGGCCUGGUGCCUGUUAUGAGAGAAAACCUGGCGACUCCAAGUAGACAAAGCUGUGGUGACUGCACGUAGCUUUACUGGAAGAGAAGAAUCCCUUGUCGCAGCUGAGUGCCAGGAGGUGUGAACAACCGAUUGACAUCCAGGGUCUUGGUUCCAGAAAGCUUCAAAGGUAAAGUGUUUCUUUCGUCGACUCAAACUGGGUGUGGUGUUAAUAACUAGAGGGCUAUGAUCGGAACCUAUUGCAGGCAUAGCAAACACUUGAGCUUUCGGGUAUGCGACACGCCAUUCAGCAGUGCAAACUGCUCGAUCCAAUCUCUCCUUCACCAAAGCAUCACCAGCUCUAUUAUUGGACCACGUAUAAGCACAGCCAUGAGAAGGUAAAUCCAACAACCGGCAAUCAUUAAGAAGCUCACGGAAAGAAUCAAUGCGGUAAGAGUCUGGUGGACGGGUUCCUAUUUUCUCCCAUCUAUGUAAUAUUUCAUUAAAGUCACCACAGCAUAACCAAGGUAAGACAGAGAAGCUGCUGAACUGACGUAAAGUCUGCCAAAGAUGCUGACGGUGUUGAAAAACUGCAGGAGCAUGAAGACAAGUAAUCCUCAUAGACCGAGCAUCGGAGAUAUCCAGACAAGUGAAGUCCAAAAAAUACUGAGAGGAGGAGAAAUCCGACAGAGAAAGCCCUGCAUUCCAAAAAAUAGCUAACCCCCCCGCCGAACCAACAGGGCUAACCAACCUGUGAUGCAAAAAACCAGAGGAUUUUUUCAAGCGAAGGAUAACAUCAUCAACAUUUUUUGUCUCCAUCAAAAAAAGCAGGUCAGGCUUUUCCUUAGCCAAAAGGGCUUUUAGAGAUAGGACUGUCAGGGGAUUGCCCAAACCCUGACAGUUCCAACUUAUGAUUUUCAUCGUUGAUUGGGUGACUGUUUAGGGCCAGCCACCGUCGCCCGCAGAAGUUCUUCAGAAGCCUCCAUGAUGGGUGUGUCUAACAAGGAAGAGUCGUCAUACAGUCCAGUAGGUUCUUCCGGUAAGGUAUAAGGAGAGUAACGCCUGGGUUUCUUCGCAGGACUGAUCUUACUAAUCGGUCGAAUACUUUUCCCUUUUGUGGCCUGAUGAGUUGAUGGUGGCCAUUGCACUCCUUUCAGUUUCUCUGUAGCUGGAAUGAGAGCAGUGGUUACAGUGUGUUUCUCAGGUGGAGGCAUGUUAGAGGAAUAAUUUCUGGGCAGUGGAUCAAGUGGAGUAGAUUCCUGUGGAGAAGAUGUUAUAACAGGAACAGGCGUUAGAAGAAGUGGAAGGGUGUGAACCGCUGUGGGAGGAGUUUCUGGUAUGAAUUCUUCAUUCUCCUCCUCCAUACAUGAUGAACCAUAGUAACAUUGCUAGUAAGGGCUACAUUUCUGAACUUCUGCUUUUAACCAUGGCCCAUAGGGAGUUUUAUCAGCCUCGGUUAUCAUGUUUUCCUCAAAAGGAAUGAAGGGACAAGAAUCCGUGUAAUGGCCCAGACGUCCGCAGGAAUAGCAGUAGUGAGGUAACCUUUCAUACCUAAAAUCCAACCACAGAGUUUGAUUGUUAAGUUUAAUUAGCCGCCCUACCUUCAGUGGUGUAGAUAAAUCCAAUUCAACACGAGCACGACAAGCUUUCAAGGCAGAACCAGAGGCGAACUCAGAUUUAACUUGCAAAACAGGGCCAACCGUACUAACAGCAGUGCGAAUCAUUUCAGCAGUACUACACUCCAAAGGUAACCCAAUUAUCUGAACCCAAAAUGCGCAUGUUGAAAAGUCAUAGCUGUGUAGAGGGGUGUUAGCAAUCCAGGGUUUAAAAUUGAUAAGAUGUCCUGAGAAUUGCCAAGGUCCAGUGUCAAGAAUUCUCUGUUUUUCAGCUUGAGACUUGAAUUUUGCUAAAUACAGUCCUGCUUCUUUCUGUAUGAUUUCUGCAUGGUCCAACCUCCAGGCCCUCUUCAAGACUGACUGAAAAGCCGGAAAAUUAAAGGAAGGGUUGGAGGGGACUUUACCGAUUAACAGAAGCUUACAUUCCUCAACCGCACCAGGUGUGGGUUCAACUCGCAACUCUGCAAUCUCUUUUUCCGUACUUAAUCGACCAAGUUUAUGACAAAGUGCAGCAAUUCUGGAUGCAUCCGGGUCAUCGUCAAGGGCCAUCGAUGAAAUAGUGGAACUAAUCAACAGAGGGAAGUUGGUAGCUUCGAUAAUAUCGACAUGCAAGAGUAGAUAAGUGAAGAGAAAGAGGAAAAAGUAAGAAAUGGGUAGCGAUUUAGGUGGAUGUAAGACUGAGAGGAAGAGAAGGAUGAUAGAGAACCAUCGACAUGGCAGGAAGAUCAACAGGAGGCUAUAGAAGAGGAGGAACGAUGAAGAGCUCUACCCAGGUGAUAGAGAGGAUCUCGACAAGACGAGACAAAACUUUUUCCUAUCAUCGGUUGCACGGGUGAUCUUUUUACAGCCCACGCAUAGUUGGAAGGUCUUAUUCAGCUGCACACGUCGAAAUUGGAAGAAAAGGCAAAGGAGAAUCAAUGAAGGAAAGGAGCGUGCAAUUUCCACCUUGACAAAGGGAGCAAUCUCGGCAUUCAGGGACCCGAAUUCACCGCCAAAAGAAAACAAGAAAAUCUGAGCACAAGAAAGCAGGGGAUUCUCCGCCAAGAGGGGCGGGGAAUUUUUCAGCAUUUAAUCAUUGCCAAAUAGAGCCCGAAAAAGAAAAAGGAAAAGGAAAGGAUGAAGCUUUUUCUUCACGGCCGAGAAAGAGAAACGCAGAGAGGGUUUCGGUCAACGAAAGAGAGAAGACUAAAAGAAAAAAAAUAACAGAGAAGUGGUCGGCAAAAGAAGAGAAAAAGAGAAACAGAGGAGUCACAUUCUCGUGGAGGAGGUGAAAAGAAAAAAGAGGACAGAAAGAGAGAGCUGUUGGGGCACGCGUGAGGAAGCAACAGAGAGCGAAAGAUGCAAUUUCCCAUUUAAUUUCCUCGAAGUUCACUUUUCCUCUAUACUUUAAUUUCCGAGAAUUUUACUCCUCGCAGUCAAAUUUCUCCAUCAUUUCAUUUAAAGUCUGGCGCACCUUGCACUUGGGAAAAGCCAAAAAUGAAAUCAUUUUAUUACUAUUUUGAAGUUGACCGAUUUUUGUUCAAGUUAGAAUUGAAGUGUGAAAACCCAUUUUAUCUAGAGAAGGGGUGUGUAAAAGUGACCAGUUUGGGAACUUUGUAAGAGCCACCCUCUUCAAAGGAAACUCAUUUUAUGAAGAGUACUCUCACAUUUGAUGGACAAAGAUCACUUGGCAUCUAACUGUCAUUUCUAGAAUACCGGACAAGCAUUUCCUAAACAAUUUUGUAACCACGUGAAACUGUUUAUCCAACUCUUCUUCGUGACAUUCAACCAUCAAAUCCAAGUACCUAGCAAUACUGCAGAAGAGGAAGACCGUGUUUUCUCUUUUCCACGCCUACAACAACCAAAGAUAUUUACAAUCAAUUUUUCUUGCCAUGAACCAGAUUAAAAUGCCAGCUUCGAAUUCCCCUCUCCUCGUUUUAGAUUGCCAAUCUUGGCUAUGCUAAUUAUAUUCCAAGCGCAAAUACUUUUACAUAUCAAUUUCAACUCUUUUAAAACCUUUGGUGAGAGACUAGCGUGAGAAUUACAUGUAUCGCAUAUUCAGGUGUUCACAUUCAUGGAUAGUGACCUAUCUACUCACUCCUUCAAUUUAAAAGAAAAAAAAAUACUAUAACUAUAAAACAAUAACAUAACAGCAUAUUUACCAGAUCAAUAUGAAUUAUAUACAUUCGAUAGACAAAUCGAAGAGUUUGAUGUAUAUCGAAUUUACAUGACGUUGUUGAACAUCUAGAUUUCUUUAAAUACCUAAAAGAAGCUAUGCAAACCCAUACCGACUCUCAUUGUAAAACGCAACUUUUAUUACAAUUAUUAUAUUGAGAUUGGUUCUCUCUGUCGCAUAAAUAGAUUUUAUACAAUAUCAAUCCAAAAAUUCGCCAAGCAGCUAAGCAAAGCAAAGAUGAUGGAAGACUUUGACCUGUUUUCUUUUCCUUUUGACUUUUUCAUUCAAGUAGCUUUUGUCGGUCUUUGCCUUACCUCUUUCUUUGGUUGGGAGAAAAGAAUAGUAAAAUGCAAGGAAGCAAGCAAAGAUGGUAGAAGACUUUGAUUUGUUUUCCCUCACCUCACGCUGGGAAGUAGAUUAUCUAACAACCAUGAUUUGAGAGGUGCGUGCGUCCCAGGCAAUUAACCGUCAAGAUUAAUUUAAAUAUGAGUACUCAUCGCCUCCUCUCCCUACCUAUGCGAUAAGUAACUUUGAAUUAGAAAAGGUAAUUUUCUGCCUGUCUAUUUUUUAGUAAAUCUCAAUGUUGAUAGUCAUUGUUCAAUCAACAAAAUAAGCUUAACUAUUUACGUAAGUAGUACUUUAUAUGCCAACUUUUAACAUAGAAAAAGGUAACACAAUUUCAUAUGGUUAGUAAAUGGUUAGUAACUCAUUAAUCUGACUUGUAAUAUAUAUACAUGAUUAGUUUUUCUUAUAUACGUUGAAGUAACUUUCCCUACAUCUGUGUGUCAGUAACUUUUCACAAGAUUGCAGUGAAAUUUUUGGAGAUGCAAGUGACAUCCGGGCUAGAGUUGAUGACUUAGCACUAAAUUUUAACAAUCACUUAGUAUUGACUCUUACUUAUAACUCAUUAAAUUUAUAUUUUUACUUACAUUCAAAUUCAUUAGGAGUACCAAAAUUUCGUUUUAAUCCAUUCAUGAUAAAAACAUCAAUAAUACUUAGAUCAUUAAUUUACUACUCUCCAUCCAAUCAUUUUAGUAUAUAUAAAUUCAAGCAAACGGAAAUUUAUUUUCCACCUUUUAAAUGGAAACAAGUAAAGUUAUUGUCGAGAUUUAUAUUUCAUGAAACUACUGGUCCUUGAAAUUAUAUUUGAAUGUGUCCAUGUCAUAUCUAAUUGAACAAUCGAUUCAAUUACAUCCUUAAAUAUUUGCCUAAUGUGCGCUGUAAUCUUAUCUCUUAAUUGGUUCUUUUCUUGACCUUUUUAGAAAUGUUCAAUACUGUCUCGUUCUAGUAAUUAGAAGGACAAAUCUGUAUAAUGUCACUUUCUAGGCCUUUCCUCGUCAAGAACAGAUGGUUGUUCUUUACUUUCUACCAGCUUUAGCUACUAAUGUUGAUCCAGCUCUUAACACUUCCAACAUGUGAGAAAUGGUAGUUGGACAUUAUUUAGUAGGAUACAUUUUCAGUUCCGAGGAUGAAGCUUCGGAAAGCUACCUAGAGGAACAGUAUAUUGGCCCAUACACUUCUAUGCUUUCAUCCAACUUAUUUUUCUGUAUAAAAAAGCAAUAAAGUGAUUAUACAAAAUUAAUAUGAUUAGUAACUCAAUUUAUAUAUAACAAAAAUUUCCAUCUACCUAUUAGUAACUAGUAAUUUUUCUAUGCAAUAAAUAAUUAUGGAAUAAAAAAAGGUAAUUUUCUGCCGAGUGUUAGUAAGUCAUACUAUUCAUAGUAAUUUUUCUAGACUUUGCUAUACACAUCAACUCAUGUUUGUUAUCUUAUUGGACUACAUAAGAUUUUAAAUAGUGGAUAUAUUACAUUUGGUGUGAGUGUUAUGCCACUGUUAAACUAGAUUGUACCAAUUGACACCUAAAUUUUCAUUAGAAGACUUCCAUUCAUUUGAUAAGAAAAUUGGAGAUUGAAUUCAACAAAGUUUGACCCCUAAACAAAAAUGUCAAUCUUGCAUGGUCAUGCAUUCGUAAUUCUCACUUCGUUUCUUCGCAUUUAGAUAUCGGGGACAUUUUAAUUUUGGGCAUGAAGUAUUCACAUCAAGCAAAGCAUGGUUCCAUCUGUGAGUUUUCUUGGAAGUGGCCCAAUAGAUGGCUCCAUAUGCAAAAAUGAGUCCUAAACUCACUUGAGGUGCCAAAACCGAGUCCGCGUGAGUCCAGUGACUCCAGCCCCCAAGCUGUAAUCGAACUCAGCCGAAUGGAGGGAUUGGAAGCGUGGCCAUUCAAGGGCAACAAGGGAAAUUUUAAUCGGCCAAUACCCAUUUUCGUGGCCAAUUCCAGUCUGAACUUAUAAGAUGGAAGGUCUUGUUCAGUUGCUGUACGCGUCCAAAUGGAAGAAAAGGCAAAGGAGAAUCAAAAGGAGGAAAAGGGGCGUGUAAUUUCCAUCUUGACAAAGGGAGCAAUCUCGGCAUUCACGGACUGGAAUUCACGGCCAAAAAAACAAAAAAUCUGGGCAUAGAAAAGCAGAGGAUUCUCGGCCAAGUGGGGCAGCGAUUUUUCAGCGUUUAAUCAUUUCCAAAGAUAUCUUGAAAAGGAAAAGGAAAAGGGUGGAGCUUUUUCUGCACGGCCAAGAAAGAGAAACACAAAGAGAGGAGAAAAUAUUCAGUGGUAUGUUUCUCCAAAGGGAGGGUUUCGGUCAAGUAAAGAGAGAAGACUAGAAGGAAAAAAAGAACAGAGAAGUGGUCAGCAAAAGAAAAGAAAAAUAAGAACAGAGAGCAAAAGACGCAGUUUCCGUUUAAUUUCCUCGAAGUUCACUUAUCCUCUGCACUUUAAUUUCCGAGAAUUUUACUCCUCGCAGUUAAAUUUCUCCAUCAUUUCAUUUUAAAGCCCAUCGCACCUUGCACCUGGAAAAAGCCAAAAACAAAAUCAUGUUUAGCACUGUUUUGGAGUUGACAGACUUUUGUUCAAGUUGAAAGUGAAGUGUGAAAACCCAUUUUAUUUAAAGAAGAGGCGUGUAAAGGUGACCGCGUUGGGAACUUUGCAAGAGUCACCGUUGUCAAGAGCCACCCUCUUUAAAGGAAACUUAUUUUGUGAAGAAUACUCGCACAUUUGAUGGACAAGGAUCACUCUGCAUCAAACUGUCAUUUCCAAAAUACUUGACAAGAAUUUCCUGAACAAUUAAGUGACCGCAUGAUAUUAUUCAUCUUCACUCUUCUUCAUAAUAUUCAAUCAUCAAAUCCAAGUACCUAGUAUUACUGUGGAAGAGGAAGAUCACGUUUUCUCAUUUUCACACCUACAACAACCAGAUAUAUUUACAGCUCCGAAUUUCCCCCUCCUAAUUCUAAAAACAAGAUAUGUUUGACAUCAAAUCAAACUCUUAAAAGUUGAAAAAGAGGAAAAGCCUGAAGUCAAUGUAAAGAAACAUCCAUUUAUCUGAUAGGAUUAUGAGCCGAAAACCUCCUUUCAAAUUGAUGCCUAAUAACUGUUUUAUGUCCUUUGGACCAUGAAUAUCUAACAGUAAUAGUGGAUUAAAAACAUUAAUUCAUAAAACAAUGUUGCAACUUGUUAGAUAUAUUUGUAAUGGACUCUUCUGCAAAUUACCUAAUCAUUCACACAUGCAUUGGAUUACAUGUAUGUUGUAUAUGGUCCAAUUUUGUCUAGAAUCAUGAAAUUGUGUAUCUAUUCUACUCUAUAUUAGUUUAGGUUCUAUAUAAAUGAUUGCAACUACUUGUGUAGUGCAUUCUGAUGAUGUACAAAGACCUUCGGUUUAUCAGUCUCUCACCAACAUAACCAUUCAAUCGAAACUCGCCACCAUCCACUUAGACAGUCUCCGCCAUGACCCAUUUUCAAAGACUUUGAAUCCUAAAAUCACGUUGUUGAAUCAACCUCAACUACAACUCAACUCCAAUAUGGACGAAAAGCUCACAUGUCGGGACGACACAACUCAAUCCAAAUCUUUGCCUUCGUAGCUUGCCACCCUUUGGUGCUUAUUUCUCAAUGAACCACCCAUCAGACAAGUGACCCUCCUCCAAGUUGAACACUAGAAACCAGUUUUGCUGGAAUUGAUCCCACAGCCAAAUGUCUUGUACCAAAGUCGUUCUUCGGUUUUAUUAAAAGGGGCUAGUAUUUUGCAUCAACUCCACACAGAUGAUAUCUCAUGCAAAGAGGAAUCGAACUCCUUUGAUUUAAACAACACUAUACAAUUCCGGGCUAAGUUGGAUUUUAAUCAAUAACAAAGCCCAAAAGUUACGAGAUCAGUCUCAAACUAUGUCGGAAUUCAAUCGAGAACAUAAAUUGAGGAUACUGAGAUACAAUGUCAGAAUUCAAUCGAUGAUGAAGCAAGAUAAAGAUACACAUUGGAAUCUAAUCGACAACGCGAAUUCGAGAGUUAUAUAGCUAAGGAAAUUUAAAAUACAAUGUAGGAAAGUAAAGAUACUAAGAGAUAACAUUUUAUUUUACUUGUAUAAGGAGUCUUCUUGUUGGAAAGCUAGUGGUAUUUAUAUUGAAAGUGUAGUAACUGCUCCUCGACUAUGCUUAGUGGCUGUAUUUCUAAUGUAAAUCUCUAAAAACUUGUGAUCGGCAUAAGUAGAGCAACUAGGGGAGUAGAUGGAUUUUAUGAAUAAGGACAAAGAUGAAAAUUUGGUAAACUUUAUUACAUGGCUAAUCUUGGCUAUGUCGAUAUAUAUUUAAAGCAACAGAUAGCUUUCACAUAUCAACUUCGACUUUCUUCAAACCCUUGAUGAGAGACUAUUGUUAACAUUACAUGUAUUGCAUAUUCGCACACACACAUUCAUGAAAAGUAUAAUUACAAAACAAUAACAUUACCACGUAUGCUAUUUGAUAAAUAUGAGUUAUUUAGAAUUAAUAAACAAGUUGAAGAGUAUGAUGUAUACUGAAUUUAUGUAACAUUAUCGGAUAUCUAGAUUUUCUUAAAAUAUUUAAGAAAACCGUGCAGACCCCAUAUUAAAUCCCAUAGUUAAACACAAAUUCCAGUAUAAUUAUUAAAUUAUUAUCGAUUUUCUCCGUAGCAUCGGUUACAAACCGUGCAAGGCGGUGGAAGACUUUUGGUUUGCUUUCACUCGUCGGAGCCUUUCUUUUCCACUUCUCUUUCGAGAGGAUUUUGUCGGCUUUUCCUUUUUCCAGCUAAAAAGCAAGAUGAUGAAAGACUUUUUGACUUACUUUCUCUCGUCGUUGAGUGGUCCUCGAUGAUGGGGACACCCUCAUUUCAUGUGCCCUUCCUUCACGUUCUCCUUUUCUGGGCCCCGCUGGUUGUGUGACAAUGUUUGACUUGGAAGCGGGCAUUCGGAUCGAACGGCUGAGGAUGAUUCCAUCUGGAGCAGGAGGGAAUUAAGGCCGGGAUCGAGGCAUGCUUAGAUGCAACUCUCACAUUUCGCGAUUUAUUACCACUAAUCCAUGACAAUGGCACUUUCGUAAUAGUAUUGUUAAACGUGACUUUCUUCUCUUCUGCACUGCUUUUUCUCUCUCUCUCUCUUUCUCACUCUGCGCGGAGCUCUCAUUCUUGAAUUCUCGCACAUUCACGCACUCCCUUAGCCUUUUCGACUCUCUCGCUCUUCAGUCUGCUGGAAAACAUGGCGUUUUCCGGCGAACACCGACCUCUCGACUGCUCUCUCCCUCACGACCUCACCUGCGAGACUCCCUGCCCCAGCCUCAAGCUCUACUUCCUCAUCGGAAUCCUCAGCCUCUCCGCACUCUGCAUCGCUCUCCUCGUAUACCUCUGCGUCCUUCGCAGUCGGAUCUCGAAGAAGCGCGAAGUGCCAGCAAAAGGGACGAAUUCUCGGGAAUCAGUUGGACCUUCCUACGAGGUUUUUCUAAGUUUUCAUGGACGAGACACUCGUCAUGGAUUUACCGAUUUUCUUUACCGUGGCAUGGUUGAGACCGGGAUCCUCGUCUUUAGGGAUAAUGAAUCCCUGCAUGUCGGUCAAAGAAUUGGCGAUGAACUUCUACAAGCCAUCCGAAACUCCAAGAUCUACAUUCCCAUAUUUUCCAAGAAUUAUGCGUCAAGUCACUGGUGCCUUCGAGAGCUUGCACACAUGGUUGAGUGCGCCUCCAAAUCGAAUGGGAAUAAAGAGAUUUUGCCCAUUUUCUUGGAUGUGGAGCCUGAUGAUGUCAAGCUGAAAACAAACUUAUACAGCAAAGCCCUUUCAAAGCAUCAGAAAAAGUUUUGCACUGAAGUUGAAUCAUGGAAAAAGGCUCUUGUUAAUUUGGACAAGAUAAAGGGAUGGAACUUGAAAACAGAUGAAAGGUAAAUGUCUUGAACUUUUCAACUUGUCAUCCAUAGGUUUCCUUUUCCUCCCUAGUUAGUUUAAUUGUGGUAUCAUUGGUGAAAAUAUAGUUUAUUCAUCUCACCAAUCCUAUCCAGUGUAACUUGUGGUCGUGGCCGUUGUCGCUGCUGCUAUCGACCACAGUGACCGGUAUCAACUCUAUCGUAGGCUUCGAUGGUUCUAUUGCGGUGGUAGUGCACCCUAUUCAUCCUAGUUUUGUCUCUCCUCACACACAGUCUCCAAUACAAUAGCCACCGAGCCACUGACCAGCCACUGCAGCAGGUCGACGGUCAUUCGCCACCACUUCUUCGUCGCCGGUCGGCACCAAGCUGCCAGAAGCCGCCGUUGAGCCUUCCGGCCCCCACCAUUUCUCCCUUUGACUCACUGUGAUGAGUCGGAUUUGUGCUCAGGAGGCCAUUUCCGACAUCACAAAGCCCAUAUCCGGAGUCGCCGACCUUCGGUAACCCCAAAUCUGGUGUUGCCCAAGGCUGGUGACGCCAUCCUUGGCGGUCGCAAGGCCACGACCCACGUGAAGGGGAGGAAUUGAGGCAAGGCCCAGAGGGGCAGGUCAAUAGGGCUCAAUGGGCAACGGCGCUGGAACGUGACAGCGACGGCCCAGGGAGGUGAGUGAUGUCAACGGCAGCGAGGCAGUGGCAGGGCCAACGGUGUGGUGACUGAAACUGGCGGAGCGGAGAUAGAAUGGGAAAAAUCCAAAAUGUUUUGGCGUCUAUAUUAUUUUUUCUUUUUUCUUUUUGCAAAUCUAAAUAUAAAAUUUACCCAUAACCCGGUUGUUACAUUUUUGCAGCCAAGUAGAUCUGAUACGAUCUAUAAUUCAAACUGUGUUGACAAAGCUGAAUGUUGGAUUUAAAAAAAAUGUGACUGAAGAUCUAGUUGGAGUCGAUGAUCGUGUAGAAGCUAUAAUCAAAAUGUUGCAUGUGGGAUCCAAUAGCGUACAAUUCCUCGGACUCUAUGGAAUGGGUGGGAUUGGCAAAACAACACUUGCCAAGGUCAUCUUCAACCAACUAUCUUCUCAAUUUCAAGGCUGCAAGUUCCUUUCGGACGUCGGAGAAUCAUCACGACGCCAUGGUCUGGUACAUUUGCAAAAACAGUUGCUAUCCAAGUUCCCCGAGUCUCGUUCUAUCCUCGACCAAAUUCAUGACGUGGAUGAUGGGAUCAACAUGAUCAAGAGAGUACUUUGCAAUAAAAAAGUUCUCGUUGUUCUUGACGACGUGGAUGAGAGAGAGCAACUCAGAACUCUAGCAGAUAAAGGUGAUUGGUUCGGUUUUGGUAGUAGGAUUAUCAUAACUACUAGGGACCAAAGAGUUCUAACCAUUCAGGCAAAAGCAGUAGGUGAAAGCCCUACAAAUAUUUCGGCUUACGAAGUAUAUAAAAUGGAAUAUGAUCAUGCUCUUAAGCUUUUCAGUAGGCAUGCCUUUAGAAUAGACUCUCCACUAGAUCAUUAUAUUUCCAUUUCCAAAAAAAUUGUCCGUGCUUUAGGAAAUCUUCCUUUAGCUAUUGAGAUUAUAGGUUCAUCCCUUAAUGGUAAAUCCGAAGCUUUAUGGGAAGACACGUUGAAGAAGCUAAAAGAAGCUCCUCCCAUGGAAGUCCAAAGAAAAUUGAUGAUAACUUACGAAAGGUUAGAUGAUGCACAAAAGCAAGUAUUUUUGGAUAUAGCUUGUUUUUUUCUUAAUGAGGAUAAAACAAACCCUUCCUACAUGUGGGAUGCUUGUGGAUACUACCCACACAAUGCCCUUGAAGUCCUCUCUCUCAUGUCCUUGAUAAAAAUCAAGGAUGACAAUACUUUAUGGAUGCAUGACCAAGUGCGGGAUCUCGGAAGGGAAAUCGUUCGUAAAGAGAAUGUUGAUGAUCCGUGCGAGCGUAGCAGAGUGCAUGAUCCUAAGGAAGUGCUAAGCAUUUUGAAGCAGAAAGAGGUAUGAAAAGGGAACAUCAAUUUAUUUUAUUGUGAACUGUUGUAAAUUAUUCUUGUAAAAAAAAAAUUAAUCGCUAUUAACAAUUGGAAUUGUUUGCCUUUGAGCUUCACCAUGUGGACUCCUUUGUGUUUCCAUUGUCAGGGGAGUAGGAAAAUUAAAGCACUGUCACUUGGAUUUCUCGAAGACACUUUGGAAGACAUAAUUUUAAAGCAUGACGAAUUUGCUUAUUUAGAGAAGCUGAGGUUCUUUCGAGGAUAUCGCGUGUCCUUUGUUGGAGACUUCAAUAAUCUUCUUUCCGAUUUAAAAUGGCUUUCUUGCAAUUCCUCAUUUGUAUUUGAGGCAAAAAACUUUCAUCCAACUAAUUUAGUCGUUCUUGACCUUUCAAGGAGCAACAUUUCGGAAAAAGAUAUUGAUUGGAUCAAAGUACGAUACGAGUCUCACUCCUCACUCCUUGUAUCCAUACAUCAUUUCUUUUUAUUUUUUUUAUAGGUCAUUUCUCAAUAAAUAUUAUUGUUUUGCAGGCGGCAAGGAAACUAAAAGUCUUAGAUCUUAGACAUUGCUAUUACUUAAGGAGAGUGCCCGAUUUAUCUAUGUUGGUGUCUUUGGAGAUUUUGAGAUUACGUUAUUGUUCAAAGAUAAAGAAACUUCCAGACUCGAUUGGGAAAUUACAAUCAUUAAUUGAGUUGGAUUUGUUAGGAACGAAUAUUGAUCACCUACCGGAUUCAUUCAGCAAUCUAAAGCAACUAACAACACUUAGGAUGAGGGACAUUAAGGGAGGGUUGACAAAAUUACCUAGUGCGAUCUGGUUUGUUCAGUUAGUGGCUUAUUCUUUUUCGUCCCACGAUAAUGAGCUGUACUGUUUGAAAAUGCCAGACUUGUCAUGGACCCAAAUAUUUGGAUUACCCACCGUGGCGAGUCUCGUCUCUAAUAUCCGUGAACUUCGGAUGGACGCGUGGUAUAGCAGACGGCCCAACUUUUACCCCGAUGAUAAGCCGGAGAAUUUCACUUUUAAUUGCGAGUCCCUCGAGUGUAGCAAAUCUCAGAGGGAAAAACAAAUAUUGGCCUCCCCAAACAUGUGGUUCCUCCACCAGCUCCCGUCUAGUUUAAGAGACUCAGUAUUUCGAGGAGUGUGGAGUCUGGGUUUCUGUCGUUAUUGGAUGCCGAUAUUCGUUGGUAUAUGUGAUUCGGAGUCGGAGAAACUCCAUCUGCAGGAUUCCACGCUUUCAAGACGGAUUGAACAGUGUUGGCUGAGAAACAGGAAAUUCCCGUCCAGAUACCGUCGGAGGAUUCGUCGACAGCGGCAUCAGCCCACAAAAGCACUUGAGCCGUCGCAUAUGAAGAAUCUGCGAGAGGUAGAUCUGUUCGAAUGCGAGCUACUAGUCGAGAUUCGCGGCCUCGAAGAAUUGGGAUCCCUUUCAUCCCUUGCGGUCGCAUAUUGUAGGUCGAUCGAAAGGAUGCCAGACCUAUCGAAAUCGAGGAAGCUAAGGGAGCUUCGAGUGGGAAAAUGUCCGAAGCUAAGAAGCAUGGAAGGUUUGGACCGCUUGGAAUCUCUAAAGUGUUUGCGGAUUCACGAUUGCAGGUCUUUGGAGAGUCUGGUGGACACCUCGAAUUUGGAUUUAGAAUGUUGCCUGAUUGUCCGUUGCAAGCGGUUGCCCCACCGUGACAAUUAUUGUAAACGUGGCCAAGGUUGCUAUUGUGAGAUGCUUUUCGAGGGGUUGAGGAAAUCUGACCCGAUGGAAGUCCAGCAAGUAUUACAGGGACAUCCGGAUGUUGCGCCAGUAAGGAAUUUAUAACGUGGCUUGGUUGUUGUGCUUGGUGUAGCCAUUUUGUUUGUUUUGUUGUUGUUCUGUUGUUUUGUUCUGAGAAAAAGGCUUUCUCCCGGACAAAUAUUGGUGAUGAAGCUAAGGAAGUGAACGAGGCACGCUCAUAUGAUGCCAAAACGUUGUCCAAUUUUGAUCAGCUUUUGAACAUAGUACUCAGUUCAUCGAUUGCUGUCCAAACAUGAAGCUCUUGGCUUUUUUAAGGAUAGAGUCUUGACAAGGAUGCCUAGCUGAAAAUCUAAAUUGUUGUCACAAGCUGGUAGGGAGAUCAGGUAAAAACAGUGGCUUAUGCUGUGCAAACUUACUCCAUGUCUUAUUUCAAGUUUUGAAAGAAGUGGCAUGAAGAAGUGGAUGCAGUUAUAGCCAAUUUUUGGUUGGGAAAGCUUAACUGAAGCAAAGUUAGAAUGAGGUUUAGGUUUAUCACAGUUUGACAGAACCCUCCUUGCUAAGCUUGCUUGGAGAAUCCAAGCAACCCCUCGGAAUUUUGGGUGCAAAUAUUUGAAGCGCUCUACCCUUUGUAGCUUCAUGGAAGUUAGAAGAGGUGGCAGAGUGUCUUGGGGAUGGAGUAGACUUUUGGAAUGAGAGAUCUAAUUAAGGAAGGCAUGUUAUAACAAAUUGCUAGUGGGAAAUCAGUCAAAGUUGGGGAGGAUAGGUUGGUGAAGGAGAGUUGAGACUUGAUGCUGCAUCCUUCAAUCUGACUCAGGUGAUAAAGGAAUUAAGAAUGGAGUCUCUAAUUGAUGCAGAUACUAAGACUUGGAACUUAAACCCCAUCAAGGACAGCAUGCGGCAGGAGGAGCAGUGACUGGUGUUGAGAAAUCACAUAAGGUCGAGAAGUUCCGAUGACCAAAUGAUUUGGCCCUGGAACAGGAUUGGUUGUUCUUCAGUAAAGUCUCUACCACUUUACCAUGUAGAAAAGAAAGAAACAUCUACUAAAGCCUAGAUCCUCAAGCUCUCAUACUAUUGAUGGUAUAAUUUGGAAGUUAGCACAGGGAGUCGACUCUCCUCAAGAUAAGACACUUCCUCUAGCAACUUUGCUUGAAUGUUGUGCCUGAUGCUGCUACAUGUGCAAAAGAAAAAAAUAUAGUUUCUCCUGGCAAUGGUGCCCUUAAAAGUUUGUGGCAACAAACUUUCAUCCGACUAAUUUAGUCGUUCUUGACCUUUCACAGAGCGAUGUUUCAGAGAAAUGGAUUGGCUGGAAUCAAAUCAUAAUAUAGUACGAAUCUCACUCCUUGCAUACAUGUUUCAUUCCUUGUCGUUUUUUUUUUCCUGCAAAUAAUUUCUUAGUAUAUAUUUUGUUUUGCAAGUGGCAAGUAAACUAGAAGUACUAGAUCUCAACAAUUGUGAAUACUUAAUGAGAACACCUGAUUUAUCUAUGUUGGUGUCCUUGGGGAGAUUGACUCUUGAAGGUUGUCACAACUUAAUUGAAAUUGACCCAUCCAUUGGUAAAUUAAAGCUCCUAACUGCUAUGAACCUAAAGGGAUAUGACUCUUGUCAAGAGUUACCUGAAGAGAUAGGAUAUCUACAAGCUUUGGCAGAGAUUGUCAUGCCUAAUACCCUACAUGAACUUUCGAAGAGAUUUGGUAAUUUGCGGUCAUUGUUGACCUUUGAUGUAUCGCAUAGGCAGAUUAGCAAACUGCCAUACUUGAUUGGAGAGCUAGUGAAACUUAGGCGGUUGAUUUAUCAGGGUGUACAAAGAUAGAGGAACUUCCAGACUCAGGUUUGGAAAUUACAAUCCUUAGUUGAGUUGGAUUUGUAAUUGAUAAUAUUUGUGGACCUUAAAAAGAUUUAAAGAUUGACAAGUUUCCUCUGUUAUGUGCAGUGAACAAGAAGCACCACUCUCCAUUUUUGAGCGAUGAAGAAUGGCGUUUCGAUAAAAUAGCCAAAGAUGGCGGUCUAUGCAAGCACAAGAAUUUGAGUGGAAUCAACACUGUUGUAGAAAAAAGAAUAAGGGAAGCACAAGCAGUUUGCGACUGCAUUUAGUUACCAAAUUACCAGCCAUCUUCACUAGCAGUCAGAUAAGCACCGAGGAUGGUACUCCUCAAAGGAUCGAACUAGUGGAUGGCAAGACCAAUGAGAGGGUUAUGAAUGGCUCUCUAUCUUCCAUAAAGCUCAAAAUUGUCAUCCUUGAUGGCGAUUUCAGGUCAGAUGAGGGAGAGGAUUGGACCGAGAAGGAAUUCAAUUACAAUAUCGUUUGCGAAAGGGAUGGGAGAAGGCCAUUGAUAACCGGGGAGCUAAAUGUGAUCUUGCAAGGGGGAAUUGGUUGCCUCCGUAAUUUAAUCAUCACUGACAGCUUGAGCUGGAUGAGAAGUCGGGAAAUGAGCUCGAGUUGUUCAAAAGGUUUGUGCAGAAAUAAGAAUAAGUGAAGUGAGUGAAACUUUCAUCGUUAAAUAUCAGCGAGGAGAGUGUAAGUUUGCAAUGCCUAUCAUUUUAUGAUAACAAUUAAUUUCCAACCAUCAACUCUGUAUGUGGACCUUAGAAAGACUGACUGACAAGUUUUCUCUGUUAUGUGCAGUGAACAAGAAGCACUAUCCACAAUCACUGAGCGACGAAGUAUGGUGUUUGCAGAAAAUAGCCAAAGACAGCGCUCUGCACAAGUGCAUGACUUCGAGAGGAAUCAACAUUGUUCAAGAUUUCCUCCAGCUGUACAAAGUGGAUGCACCUUUCUAAGAAACAAAGUGACUCUUACUCUUCGAGCACUGCUAAUUUCCCUUUUUUCCAGUUCACGUUAUUCUAAGCAUUGUUCAAUAUCAAAUCGUGCUACUUCUUUUGUGUGCGAUGUUAUAUUAGGUACUUGGAAAUGAAAUCACCAAGCGGACAUGGGAGACAAUUGUCAAACAUGCCAGCCCCUGUGUGAUCAACGAUAACAUGUAUUUCUACCAAGCUUUGAACAAGGCCAGUAUAGUGUUCAAUUCGGUCAUGAAAGUUGCUCAAGCAGCACCCGAUGGCCAAAUUUACCAGUGGGUUGACAUAUUGGCCCACUCUCAGAAGGUACAUAAAUCAUAAACCGAAACAUCUCCAUCUAGUAGCUGAGUGUGAAUCUAUCUGGACCUAUAGAAAGGGCCUGUAUUUAUCGGAUUAGUCUGCUUCCAUGGCAGAAUAUAUACUGCAAGCACUUCUCUUUAAAAAGUACCCGUUUGAUUUUGGACUUGAUUGAACCCGCUGCUCGGUUGACAGAUUUUGUUGCAGAACUUGAAAUGGCUAGCUUACGAUAACAACAAUCAAUGGUGGCGCUUGAUGCCCUGCCCAGCAUCUCUCUUCUGAGAGCCCCAACCAAUUUGCCUACAGAGCCGUCAAUUGGCCUGAGCCUGCCUCUUCAUCAUCUAGUUUACACAGAGCUAAACCAAGGUAUUGUGGUAUUACAUCACUUCCAUCUAUCUUUUCCUUUUUGGCCUUCUUGAUCUUUCACAGUUUAGUGUUCCCAUUUCUUUAUUGGCACAUCCACCUUUAUGCACGUCUAUGGUAGCUGAAACUGAAAUGCAUCAUUAUUCAGAUAGACCAGAAGUGACUCCUGAAUUUAGUUACUCACUGGUUUCAGCAUCAUGCUGCUACAAUGUCACAAAGAUCAGACAAUUAGGUUGUCUGGGGCCACAGUCAUAUCACUACAAAAAUCUUUGAUCCGACUGUAAUUCAACAGCUUGGCAAGGGAGGACUUUUUGUCCAGUUUGAGUGCUGGCGAAAGCAGUCAUCUUCCUGGUUACACACAAGAUCUGUUUGCGCCAAACAUCCAUUUGUCUCCUGAGGAGCUUUUCCAAGUGCCAUCUCCAAUCCCUGGCAAUUUAAUGUGGACACCGGAGCAUACUUUCAUCAUUGAGUCGAGCAGCAGGGCAGAUUUUGGGAUCUGCCCAUCUCGCACGGGUUAUGGAGUCCAUAAUUCUAGGAUUGCAAGGCCCAAGGUGGCAUGGUGCAAGAUCCGUGAUGUGGUGAAGUGGGGAUUGGUUCAGCGCGUUGGGGCUGCAAAGAGAAGAGCAAUGUUCAAUUGUGCAAGUUAUCCAGCUGUAUAAAUGGAGAGUUCCAUCCCCCAAACAAAUUUUGGGUGCUUCAGGAGCGCGAAGCUCUCGCCCACACAAGCCAGUCACCACAUGCGAAGUUCAAAAAAGAAGGAAAUUCGUGAUACUUGAUGCUAGGAGAUUGUCUUUGGGGGUAUGAGAAUGUCUAAUUCUAGGGGUAAGCUGCCCAGGAUGCAUCAUCGACUUAGUAUUAUGCAUGAUCACUGCAAUUUUCUCUAUUGUUUUUUGUUGAUUGUCCUUUCAUAUUUGAAUGAAGUUGUGCACCAUCAAGAUGGGGCUGCCAAUUGGACAUGUCUUCUCUCUGUAGGCCACGCAAGCUGAUCUUAGGAAGUACCUCAAUACAGGGGUUCUUCCUCAAGAAUUGUAAGGCUUUUGCUCUCUUCUUCAAGAAUUGUUUGGCAUUCUGUUUGUCCCAAAUACAUCAUCCCUUGAUUUGUCAGUUUACUACUCUGAUAUGCUUAGUAGACUUUUCUUUGCUUUACAAAAUUUGUGAGUAUAUUACUUAGUUUGCGAGAUCCAAAGUUUCUCCUGUCAGCUUUGCUCUUAUUGAUCUGAAAUAUUAUAUGGUAACCAUUAGUCACAAAACCCACAAUCUUGACGGUAUAUAGUCAAGGUUCUUCUAUCGCCAAUGUGGGACCUUCUUUUCCAUCUAACAUUCCACCGAGUUCUUGUAGGCUUGGAUCUAAGACCGCUUCGAGACUAUUCCAGAGAAUAUUUCUGGGCGAGAAAAGAGAUGAAUUUUUCUCUUUCUAAAUUGUGCAGUUUUGCUUUCAUCUGCGAAAAAUUGAAAUGGAAACAAUCCAUCUUUAUCAUUGAAAAUAUGCAAGAUGUGCAAAGUUUCCCAUUUGAUCAAUGAAAAGUGCUUAUUUGAUUGUGAUAGUGAGUUCUAACGGAAGAAAUAGGGAGAACCAAAAAAGUAUCCUUGGGCAGAAAGUAAGAUCCGAAUACGAACUUGUAAAGAAAAGAGUGUACCAGCAAUCUAGGACGUUGCACACAUGUGCCACGUACCUAAAAUUGUCGAUGGUGUUAAGCAUGUUUUAGUUCCUAAAUCUGUCAUAGGUAACAGCGGUGAAAAAUGGAAUUCUUCUCUUGUAGGGCAAGGUCUUGGCAAGAAAGAGUAUUGGAUUUAUUUCCACUGCAGUGAAUAUGUUGUGGUGACGAGGAGAUUGAGAACGGAAUGUUCCUUAUGAACCUUUCCUCUUCCAGAACAUUGCGCACUAUCUUCUUGUGCUAAGAAAAUGGAAGCCUGAACUGCAAAGUUAGGAGGUCUCUUAUGUGAAAACUGUUGUCUAGGCUAAGCUGCAGAGCGUUCCUCUGUAUCUUCUGACAUUGGAGGGAAGUCUUGACGGCUUUUUCAAGAGUGAGAAAGGCCUAAGGCAGGUCAAUCCUUUAUUGCAUAUUUUUGUUAUGGUGAUGGAGGUUUUCCCAGAACUGUUCAAUAAUUCUGCAAGUCAUGGCAAAUCAAAAUACCAUUCUCAGUGCUCUAAGGGGAAACUUGCUGACGAUUUGAUGAUAUUUUCCAAAGGGGAUAUGGAUUCUUGAAUGAAACUAUUGACUUUGUUUCAGAGACUUAAGCACACGUCAGGUCUUAGUAUUAAUCCCCUUAAGACAGAGAUAUAUAUGUAGCUGGUAUUAAGUGGCAGCUAGUGGAUGAUAUACAUCUCUUGGUGGCUUGGCCAAAUGCCAGUUAGAUACCUUGGCCUUCCCCUGAUUUUGGGAAGGUUAAGAGAUAGAGUGUAAGCCUUUGGUGGACAAGAUUACUUUUCGAGUGAGUCCUUGGACAAUUAGGCAACUCUGUUGCGCUGAAAGAUUGCAACUAGGGGUGUGCAACGGGAACCGCCCGAACCGAGAACCGGCCGGACCAGACCGAACCGGCCGGUUUUGGGCGGUUCCCAUGGUUGGCGGUCCGGUUCCCGGUUCCUAAUCUUGGAACCGGUGGCCGGUCGGUCCGGUUCCCGGUUCUAAGGUGGGAACCGGACCGAACCGGACCGAAACAAAUUUUUUUAUAUAUAAUUUAUAUACAUAGAAUUAAUAAAUUAUAUAAACAUGAUAACUUAUUGCAACUAAAAUUGUAAUUUGAGGUAGCAUCAUCUUAUGUGGCCAAGAGACCAUUAAAACUAUUUUUAUUACUCUUUUUUUAUAGAAAAAAAUCUCCUUGUUAGUUUUUGUUGGAAAUAUGAUUUGUUUUUUUAUUCUAAUUAUCUAAAUACAGUUAAUUGAUUCUAUGAAUCCAUGAUAUUGGAUAUUAGGACAAUAGUAUAGGAAACAACAUAUUUUGUAUAUUCUUUCCUAUCGUACUCUUUUCUUGUAUUAUUAAUAGGUGUGUAAUACAUGUACAAACACAGCAAUACACAAUACAGAAAAUUCCUCCAAUUCCUUCUCAGUUUUUGUCAAUUUUCUUUCUCAUUUUCUAUCAGUUUCAUCUUCUACUUGAUGUGGGACUAAGGUUCCAAGAGACCCACAAGGCACUUCAAGCCUCCAACAAUCCCACAUUGACUAAACAUUUAAAGAGCAGAGAUUGUCUAUAAAAUCUAAGCCAUGCAUAACUUUUAGCCAAAUUAUUCACGGCUUUCAUGGUUAAAGUUAAGUGUGAAACACACAAAGUGUGAAUCACAUUUGAAUAUUUUGCACAUGGAAACAUGUGUGAUUAGUUUUGUUGAAUUGCUCAAAAACCGAAUUGGAUUGAUCGGUCCGGAGCGCGGUCACUCUUUUGUGCAAAAAAGUAUAGUCGAUUUUGUUGGACCGGACCGGACCGGACCGGAACCGAUGGUCGGUCCGGUUCCCGGUCUUAGGACCAAACGGUCCGGUCCACGGUUCACAAUUUUGGGAACCGGUGCUCCCGGUCCGGUUCCCGGUUCCAAGGUGGAACCGGACCGAACCGGGAACCGAUCACCCCUAAUUGCAACUCAUUGAGGAAGUAACAGCUUGGUGAAUUUUUGGAGUCAAAUUUUUUUGUUGCCAAAAAAGUUAUCAAUAUGAUGGAAAGCAAGUGUAACCCUUUUGGAAGGGAGAAUCUGAAAACGCUCGAGGUUCAAAAGUUGCCUGGAUGAUGCAUGUCUCCCCAGGUUUAAGGGUGGUUCAGCAUUGAGGAAACUAGGGCCUUGAAAUCUUGCUUGUCUAUUGAAGAACUUAAGGAAAUUUUGUUGCAGGUUGGAUCCAUUCGGGUGGCCUGGCUUAGCCGUUUCUUGCUUAAAGGGCAGUCUAUUUGGGCAAUGAAUCCAACUGGCGAGAGCAGCUAUGCUUGGAGAAAGUCUACUUGAAGCAAUGUAAAUUAGUAUAUAAUAUAUAGUUUCAUUUAAAAUUGAUAUUUGAAAAUUUGAUGGAGAAACGCGAACUCAAUUGUAAUUUGCAUUGCAAAGCAUGGCUUACGUUGUCACUUUUCUUCUUGUCCCAUAUAAAACUCGACCUCACUUACAACGUGGUUUUGAGAAGACUUUUUGAGAUUUACUACUUGUCAUGUCUUACACACAAUGGAUGAUGAGAUUGGAAAAAUGCAAAGUCAAGAUUUUCAAAUUAUGAUAUGGGAAAUCUAUUCUUAACUUUUCAUCACCAAUAUAUGAAGAUUACCAGAAGCCCACCGGACUAGAUCUUUGCUAGAAAUGCAUUUCCUCAUAGGGUGCGAACGAUAAUAGUUUUGUUUCUCUAUUUUUCUUUUCUCGAGAAUAGGUUUGGAAUAGAAAUCCGUUUGGUGAUGUAAUUUCAUUUUUUUAUCUUCAGAACAAAUUUUGCACCUAGAAAUAGGUUUGGAAGAAAAAUGAGAAGUAUAAAUUUUCUACUUUUCUCUUUCUAGAACAAAAAUAGAAAUAAAAACUUUUAAGGUGCGUUUGGUAAUCAUUCUGUUCCGGGGAAUAAUUUUUUAACAUAAAUAGUUUUUUUUUUGUUUUUAUUUCAUGGAACAAUUUCUGAGUAUAAGAACGCGCUUGGUAAUUGCAAAAAAAUUAUAUUCCAGGAAUAGAAAUACGUUUGAUAAACUUGUAUAAUUUUGUUAUUUCUUUUUAAUUUUUUAAUAUUUUUCCUUUUUUUCUUUUUUUUUUCCUUCUUUAUUCUUUGUAACCGGUGGCCGGCGGCUGGCGACCGGCGAGGUCCGACGAGCUUGCCGAAGCUUCACCAGGCCACUGCGAGGGCCGGCGAGCUCGCCGGAGCCUCACCAGGCCACCGCGAGGCUCAGCCUCACUAGAUAUGGGCCUCGCCGGUGGCCUCAAUAAAUAGGUGAGCCUCGCCAAGCCACCGGCGAGGCUCAAGCUUGCCCAAGCGACGCGAGGUCGGCCUCGCCUUGGAGCUUGCCCAGCCAAGGCGAGGCCGAGCUCGCCCAACCACCGGCGAGGCUCGGCCUCGCCAAGCCGACGUUGGGCAACAUCGCCUGCCAGUGGCCUGGCAACUCUCUGGAGAGGUUGUCGGCCCUCUACGGCCGGUCACUGACCAUGGCCGAGGCCGGCGACCAGCCAAAAGGAAGAAGAAGGAAAGAAAAAAGAGGAGAGAAAAUUUGUUUCUCAAAAUUGUUCCUGAGAUUGAUCUUGGGAACAAGAAGUUACUCUUUUCUACUUCUUGUUUUUGUUCCAAAUCUGUUCUCGGGAACAAAAGUUUUACCAUGUUUCUAUUUUAUUUUUGUUCCCCGGAACAAAAGAACAGAAAUUUUUGUUCCGGGGAACAAAAACACUUUUUACAUCACUCAUCCUUGUUGCUACCCUCCACCGGCCGUCGCUGUCCUCCACUGGUCACCUGCCCUUCGCCACCUAUUGGUCAUCGCCCUCCACUCGCUAGCCACUUGCCAGCCACCAAUCACCACCUUUCAUCGGCUGCCACCAAGAAAUUUUAAGACCUAUCAAACGAAUUUCUAUUUCGAGAAUGUAAAUUAUGUAUUGUUAUCAAAUACAUGUCUUUGUUCAUCAACUCAUCCAAUGAAUAGAAAUAGAAAAAUCUAUUUCUUACAAGAAAAUAUUACCGGGAACAAAAUGAUUAUCGUUUGCACCCUUAUUGAACUUGAAUUUAACCGGAACAAAUCAUAAUGCAGCGGAAUCUGAAUGGGUUCCAUAGGUAAGUUAAAAGACAAAAAAGAAAAAGAAAAAAUGUUGAAAGGUCAACGUCCCCAAGACAUGUCAGUGGGAGCUUAGGCAAAGAAUUUUCGCGGAGCAAACCUGAAAUGCAGUUGAUCACUUCGUCUCAAUUGCUCUCAGCUCACCUGUGACAUGACCGUUGGACGAUGACCACACACGUUCCACGUUCCUUUUUUACGAAUACUUUACAGAGGAUCAACAUCCAAUAGAUCAUCAGCGUAAUCUGGAGUAGAGUUUCCCAUAUCUAAAGGUCGAAAUCGCAUUUUCUUGAAAACGUCGUCCGCCCCUCUUCUCCAUUCCCAUCGCGAUCUACAUCGUACACCACUGAAAAUUAGUCCACAAAAUGCAUGAGAAAUUGCAUGGCAAAUAUUUCGCAAAGAUAAAAUCGGCAUUGAAACCAGAAAAAGGAUCCAAAUGCCAAUGUUCCCACAAAUAUGAGAGCUCACCAUUAGGGAUGGGCAUAGGGGCGAGUCCAAUCCCCAGCCGGCGAACUAGGAACCUGCACCAUCCCUGUCCCGUUCCCCACGCGUGGUAGGGUGUUUUGCGCGGUUCCGUUGAAAGGGCAGCAGAGGGUAAGAUAGAGAGAGACAGUGUAUUAACACUUUGCCAAAAAUUUUGCCUUAAUUCCCACUAGUAUCCGUGUAUUAAAAUAGAGCGGGAGGUACACUCAAGUCAACGCUUAGCGAGCCAUACCAACAUUGUCCAUAACAUUGUCCGUAGCGAGCCAAACCAACAAGAACCGACGCCCAGAGCUUAAUGGAUAAUUAGCGAAGACACUCAAGUCAACGCUCUAAAGUCAAACCUGAAACUGAAUACACCGCCAAAAACUAAAGGGCCGUUUGAGGAACUAAAGAAUCGACUACUCAGGAUGAGUUUGAAGAGAGUAGCCUGGUCAACUUCGACAAACUCAGCGACCCAGGCCUUUGAGGACGUCCUCGAUGGUGCCAUCGUCGGACUUGGCAAACUCGACGUGCUUCUUGCAGUACUCGAUUGACAUUGAAGUACGAUCGUAAUUUGAGGAACCAUGAUCACCACGGCGAAUGCACACCAAUGGGAGAGGCAAGGACACAAAUGCAGUCGAUGAGGAAGAUCACCCUUGGGAGCUCUGACGGUGAUCCGUUCGAGGUCAACGAGGCUGUGGCCGACGAGUCACAUACGAUCAAGCACAUAUACUCACCCUCAUUAUGCACAAUUGUGGCUGAUGUUUUAUCCCAUGUACUCAACAAUGCUCUGUAGGAGUGUUAGCGUCAGGGAAUUAAGCUUAAAAAGGAGAGUCCUGAGCCCCCCUUCUCUUUACAUAUGGCUUCCUAUUCUUUGUUGUUGCUGACCCUGUUUGAACUGCGGAUGUUCCCAAAAGAUUGUUGACUGUAUUGCACUCUUGUCCGCAGGAUUAUCUUGCAAAAGUCCUGUAUAUGCUUCAGUCCUAACACGGGUGCAAAGUUGAGAACAGAGGUAAGCACAGUCCAGGGAAUCAACGUUAUUCAGAACCCUGGUAACUAUUUGGGUCUACCUAUUCUAUGGGGUAGAUCUAAACGUGAAGCUCUUGGCUUUGUGAAGGAAAGAGCCCUGAAAAGAAUGCCGAGCUGGAAAACUAAAUCGGUCUCACAAGCUAGUAGAAUAGGUAUUACAACAAAAAGUAAUGCAAUGAAAUAAAAUAUAAAUCAUGGUAUAAAUACAUGUUGUAUCAGAAACAAAAAGUUAUGAAUAUUCAGAACUCAUUUUAUGAACUCAUUUAGCUAGUACAACAAAAAAGUUGGAAUAUGUGACCCCAUGUUGUAUCAGAACUCAUUUUAUGAAUAUUCCCGGUUCCUAAUGAAAUAAAAUAUAAGUCAUGGUAUAAAUACAAGAAGUUAUUCAAUAUAUCAUAAUAAGAUUGUUAAACAAGGUUAUCUUCUCAUCACUCCCUAAUAUUUCUUGAUUUCUUUUACUUUCUUUUUUUUUCAAAAGCGAGUUUGCUUCCCUAGCAAAGAAGGCAAGAGUUCAAGAUUCCAUUAUGAUAAAAUCAGAGAUUUAAAAAAAAAAACUACUGAAGAAUAUAUAUUUUUAUAAUCAAACGGAAGCGCUAUUACUUGUAAGGAAGAUGAACUCUGCCUAAUUAGCUUUUUCUUUUCCCUUUUUAUAUUCACCAACCGGUGAAGAUGAUAUGCUUGGCUCUCCUUAAGCUUCCUGUGAUUCCAAGGCUGACACCUAAGCUUCAAUCACAAUAAUAACUCAUCCCAUCUUAAGAGGAGACCUAUCAUCCAAUUCAUUCUUAAUUCAAGGAUAUCUCUAAGCCCUCUUUUGCUUUUUAUCACGCCUUAUGUUGAAAUCCACAAGGAACCAUUCUAGAUUUAUCUUCCUCAAGUGGUGGAAAUUACAAUUAUAAAUAAUCAGAAUUGGAAUUGACUAUCAAAAUCAAAACGUAUUGCUUUCUAAGAUGUGUUAAUCAUUACCAUUGUCUUGAGCAAAGGCUUGACGUUAAUAAUUUCCAAUCAAAAUUGAUUGGAUGAACUCAAUUAAUAAAAAGUUAGUAUAUUUUAGAUUUUUUGGAUAAUUUUCCCCUACUAAAUCCACUAUACUAUGGAAUUCGAAAUUAAACGGACCAAAUCACAACGCAACCCAAUCUGACUGGGUUCCGAUAGGCAAAGAGAAAAGACAAUUCAGAUUGGUCAAAAAAAUCUAAAUUAUGAUGUCACCGCGUUGAUCGGCACAAAAGGUCAACGUCCUCAAGGCACGUCGGCGGGAGCUUAUCCAACAAAAUUUCCAAGCAAGAAAGAAGAAAAACAAAGGAAAAAGAAAACCAAGUCAGCUUCUGAAUGAUCAAUCUUUUCUUGUUCAGUAUUCAAAAUGAAAAACAGAAGAGCCCACUGUCUUCAGAAAUGAAAACCAUCAAACUCGAUCUACUCUAAAGAACACAAGGCUAAUAGAUUCUUAUUCUCACCAGCACACAACAAAACAACAUCUCUCUCUCUCUCCCUCCCUCCUAUAAAUUACCCUCUUCACCACAUCUUACCUUGAAUCCAACAAGCCGUCGAACUCUUCAGUUUGUCCAUAAAUCGUACCAAAAAAGGACAGAACAUCUGGUUUUUUUGGCCUGUCUCUGUCUCGUCCUUGCUGAAAGAGGGGGAUGGCUGAGACGGUAGCGAGAGAGAGGAAGAUACUGGUGGCGGUGGACGAGAGCGAGGAGAGCAUGUACGCCUUGUCGUGGUGUCUCCAGAACGUCGUCUCCGAGAACUCCAAGGACACCCUCGUCCUCCUCUACGCAAAGCCCCUUCGUUCUGCCUACACAGCCCUCGACGGCACAGGUAAAAAACUAAACGUCAAGAUGUUCUUCUUCUUGUUCCGACAUGGUGGGGGUGGCGGCAGCAAUGAGGGCCUCCUCACCAUAGAGGCCCUUGUUGAUUUGCUUCCAAAACCCUUUUUUUUUUUUUUUAAUUAAUUUUUUAAUUUAAUUUAAUUAAUAUUUAUAUUAAAAAUCAAAUUUAUGGGCAAAACAGCGUAUUGCUGACUAAGCAUUCCAAUGAGUAACGUGGAUAAGUUUUAUUAUUGAAAUAAUGCAAUAUCAGAUUUCUAACUACUUUCGUCAGAAUUAGCACUUAAGUAUCCAUUUUUUUUUUAAAUGCCACUUAAAAUGCCACUUAAAUGUAUUUUUUGAAGUUUUGGCACUAAAGUGUUGGCUCAUGCCAAGUUUUGGCACUUAUGGUGUACAUUUGCCCUCGUCCUCCUCUAUGGAAAGCCCCUUUGAUCUUCCUACAGGUAAAAAAACUAAACGUUCUUUUGCUAUGGAGACCAUCUCUUGCGAUUAUAUUUAUAGAGUGGUUUUGACAUUUUUAUUUUUCAUUUCGUUCUUUGUUCCGGUACCUGUUUUCUUCAGACAUAGUGGCCACCAUGGAGAGGUACAACAAUGAAAUGGCCGACUGUUUUAUGGCUAAGGCUAAGAAGAUCUGCCAUGAUUGUGGUGAGAUGAGCUCUUAUUAAGGCAUAAAUUUCUAAAUUUCAAUAAGCGAAAUAUCAAAGGGAUUACUGUGAUGGUUGACCUGGGUAUGGUUGCUGUUAUUGGGGACAGGUCGAGGUGGAGACGAGCGGGAGAAUGGGGAUGCAAGAGAUGUGAUCUACCGAGGGACGCAGAAGUUGGCACCUGAUGUUCUGGUGAUGGGAAGCCAUGGGUACAGCCUUAUCAAGAGGUACUUCAAAUACUCAUUUCGUUUAGUUACUCAAAAACUCCUGAUAUCGACCCUAACGCUAGAACAUUGCUUCAGUGGAAAGACAUGUAUUAUGUAGCCCUAGAUUGAGAAAUGCUUGCAUUGCAAGUGUGGGUGAACGAUUUUACGAUAGGUAGGUUCCAGAUUAUUGUUGUGAGUAGCAUUCGAGAACCAGGCCUAACUUUAAAUGUUGUCAUCAUUGUUUUGGAAGAAAAUAUAAUGUAAACAAUUUGUGGUAUGGUGGUUAAGAAACUAAAGGAUUCAUAAAUUUUGGGUUUGAAACCCAUCUCUAGCAUAUCUAACAUUUCUUUAUAUAAAAUGAAAAGAGCAAAUGAAAAUCGGUCCAAUUGCUCACCCUAGUUGAAAGUUGUCCUCACCUAUACGCGGGCAAUCUAAAAGUCUCUAAGUUUUCGAUUGACUAUUUAAUGAUUUAUUCCUAUUAGUAGAAUGAGGGGAAGUAAUAAGCUUUUAGUCUUAAUUGUAAAUUUCUUUUUUGUUUUGGCAAGUAGAUUGUAAUAUUUGUAUGGAUAUUGGCUAGUGAUUGGUGAAAUGUGGCAGGGCGUGAGCUAUCACUAUACUCAAAAUGUCGAGUGCCCUAUGUUGGUAGUGAAGAGACCCACAUCUAGCAGGAAUAACUAAAACUCGAAUCUGUAAAGUUUGUGCUUGGGAUCUUCCUUGGUUGGGUCCAAAUCCUAGGUUGCCUUUAAGCACUUUGUCAAGUUUCAUUGUAUAUACUCCCACAUUGUCUAGUGUCCUCAUUGUUUCUUACCUAGGCUUUCUGUACAUGCAUAUUCUUCGUCAAUUAUGACUUAUGAAUGGAUUGAUUUUUUGUUAAUAAAACUUUAUUAACACCCAAAUUUUGACGGAUCUACUUAAUCAUUCAUUAAUUACAUAAAAAAUUAUGGAUUAAUUUUUAACCUUUAGAAAAAAUAAUUUUCAUUAAAUUGCAUUGCAUAAAAACAUUAGGAGCAUUUGCAUUACUAGUAUUAAAGUUUAAAAAAAUUUAAGAAUUUUAAUAUUAUAACUUUUAUAAUUAUUUAUAUAUAUAUAAAUAUAUAUAUAUAUAUAUAUAUAUAUAUAUAAAUUUAAAAAAAGUAAGACCCGCCUUCUUUUUUUUACCCUCUUCUUCCUCUUUCCCGUAGCCCGCCCUCUCCCUCGCGCUCUCACGCGUAAAAAGGAAAAAAUAGAAGGCUCGUACGAGCAGAAGGACAAGAGAGCAGAGGGCAAAGCGUCUCACCGGAGUGGGUGGUCGGGUGCAGACCAGCGACGGCAGCUGGUGUCACGGGAGGCCAUGUGCGUCGGUGGCCAUUAAAAGGAAAGAGAGGUAGAGAGAGAGGGGGCAUUUUUACAGAGGAAGGAGACUGAGAGGGAGAGAGGCGCGUAGAGCGAGAGCCGAGAUAGAACGGGGAGCGAGAGUGAGCUGGGCCGACACCGCGGCCACGCACGAACUCCGUCCGAUGACCACGCCCGGUCGAUGUCUUCAAGCCGAACGGGUAAAUCUUUCUUUUUUCCCUCUUUUUUUCUGCCCUGUUUUGGGGCACGCCGGGCCGGAGCUCGCGACCGUCUGGCUCACGCGAACUCCGGCCCCGUCCAUCCCUCCUUCGGUUGUUGUGUGUUUCCUUGUCUGUUUGGCGAGAGUCCCGGUUUUGGUUCGGGUCCCUGGUCGAGUCGGAGACCUCACGAUUCGUGCGCGCCCUUCACCCAUUCGCCGAAAUGCUUCUUCAGUGAGAUCUAGUUUUCAUCCUCCCGUUUUUAGACAAAACCGAGCGUCCUGGAGUUGAUUCGUUCUGUUGAGGCGGGUGUUGUUGAGUUUGCCGUUCCGGGCGUCGGUCGUUUCGCCAUAUUCUCGCCACGGCCGUCAUUGUUUAUGUUUGCGCGUGGCCGAGGGCGCCACGGCCGGCGAUGUCAGGUUCCGGCCUAGGAGUGACGGCCUAGACGGAGGGGUUGUCUUCAGGGUGGCCGUGUUUUUUCUGCUUGGUCCGCGGCCGCUCACGGUGGUCGUCCGCGGAGGCUCCGCAGUUUCUUGCGGAUCGGCGUCCAAGCGGCCCCGUCAUGGUUGUCAUUGGAGCCUCACCGGCCAGACGAAAGCCAAGUGCUCGGCCCCGGGGCGGCUGAGGCGAAGCCUAGAGGCGUCCUUGGCCGGGCGAAGACGGGCGGCGUCGCUCAUCGCGGCCAUCUCCGUCGCGCUGAGACUGCCGCGAGCGUGGGGGAGGAGCUGCGGUUCGGGGGAUGGAAUGAGUACGAAGGAUGGACUCAAGGCUUGGGGUCUUGAUUUUGGUUUGGACUGAAUUGGGGAUUGGGCUUUAGGAUAAACUUAGGUCUUUUUAAGUGGGCUCGGUUUAGCUUUGGAAAGCUUGGGCUUGUUAAUUUAGCUCUUGGGUCGAGCUUGUUUUGUUAGAGUUGGACUUAGCUAAAUGCUGGAGGAAUUGGGCUUAAUUCUAUGAGGUGAGCCCAAUUCGUUUUUUAAUUAAUUAAAGCCUCCUAAUGUGUAAAGCCCAUUUCACGUCCUUGAGCCCAGCUUCGUAUGAACUGAUGCAGCCCAUUUUUGGGACUGCGCCCGAGUCCCUAUUGUCGGAUAAAAAUUUUAAAAUUUUAAAAAUAUAUUUUUUAAAAUAAAAAUUUCGAAUUUUUUUUUUCUGAAAACUAUGGAAAAGCUAAAAAUAAAAAAUAAAAAAUAUCUUUUAAGUAUUUUUUUCUUAAAAUGUGUAAAAAUCCUUAAUAAAAAAUUCGUGUUCAAAAUUGAACAAACUCUUAGGACUUCGCUAUAGGAUUUGGAUGUCCUUAAUGGCAAAUGGUAGGCUAUGAUUUGUGCACUUCCAUUUCCAUGAUCACUUGAUUGCACACUUUUAAAAUGUUGUUUGUUGUUUGCCUUUAGUCUAGUUAGGGGAUGACAAGAUAACAUGACAAUGAUCAAUGAAUGCCAAAAAAUGGUAAAAGUCUAGCAAAAUAAAGUUCAUGAUCGUGUCAAGUGAAGAAUCAUACCUAUGCAUCAUCGUUAGCAUCGGUAGAGUCAGCACUCUCACCCAUUUUAAUUUCAAAAUCAAAGUGACCUCCGGCAUCAUCAUCUUCAAAAAAAGAUGUGCACUUCCUUUUUCCCCUGUCAUAGAUUUGUACAGUUUAAACCAUCCAAAUAAAUAAGAUUAGGAAUUUUUAAAGAAUAGGUAUAGAAGGCUUACAUCUAAAUCUACUGGAUCAUUGGCUUACUAGAAAGGGCAUAAAUCGAAGUCGGAGAAAUAGGAACAAACCAAUGUGAAUAGAACAUCUCUCUCUCUCUCAAUCGAAAUUGCGCCUGUGAAUAGGUACAUUAUAAGUAUUGUCAAAAACCCUAAGCUAUCCAGGGGAAAAUAUGCAACCAUGCAAUACCCAGCAUCACAAGCAUAACCUCCAGAGAUACGAGUAUUGAUUUCCUGUCAACUCACCAAUUUAGUAACUGUUCACAUCCUUGUUUGUCAAUAUAUAUAUAUAUAUAUAUAUAUAUAUAUAUAUAUAUAGACAAUUCAGAUAGCAUUAAAUAAUGAAGCGAUUUGAUCUUAAAACUUCUAUGCUCCUUUCUAAUUACCAAAAAAUAUGAGUUAUAACAGAUCUAGGUUACCUCUUCAUCUCAUUUCUUCUCAGCCUUGUCAGACGCUGCCUUCUCAGCCUGCAAAGAAAAAAUAAAGCCCAUGAAUACUCUAUACUCUUACCAAAUUCAAAAGUAAAACUUACAAGGAGCAAAACCACUUGCAUCCUUGUUCUUGCCCCAUGUUUCUUCAGCAAGCUUCGUGGCAUACUCAGGAUCAUCACAGACCAAGGCAUUAUUGAAUAAGGUUCCAGAUCUGACUUGACAAAUCGAGCGUAGAGUAAACCGAAUUUUGAGCUCCCGGAACAUUGUUAUUAAAUAAAACUGGAUCGGUUACAGAAAAAUUACCUGCCACAGUUCAUUCCAACAUGCUUUAAGAUGGGGAAGCCAUAGAGCUCUGGGUCAUCUUUGAAGUCUAUAAAAAAUACAUAGGAUAGACUUCAAAGAACUUUCAAAUAACAGCAAACAAUAGCAGCGAACAAGAAAAGAAUAACAUUGAUGUACAUCUAAGCUUAAGAAAAGAACUAGUGAUUAAGACCCUGGGUUGUCCAUUAUUGGUGCCUUCCACUUUUCCCUGUAGUUGGGAUUCUUAAUUCUCUGCAAAUAAGCAUGAUCAAGAGAAUCCCUUAAAGCAGUCCAGAACGUAGACUCACAAGUUGCAUACCUUUGGCUUCCAUGGACCCUUUUAUUUAGGGUUGGCAAUGGUCGGGGUAGUCCACUCACCAUCCACCUCAUUGGCCCAGUCUUUGGGCUUAAAUCAUAAUCUUGAUUAGUAACUAAAUAUUGUACAUCAACCUCAUGAAAGCAUGGUUGAUAAUCAGCUUCAAAUCGAAAUCAUCGUUUAGCAGGUUUACCAUCUUGGCAGUGGGAUUUGGUGUCUUUUUUGGGAUGUCAUCAAUCAUAGCCCUGUCAUCACAUCUACAAUAUCCUUUUAAAAGAUUUACAGGAAUACUGCAUUUAAGAAAUCCAACAAAUAGAAGACAAAAUGAUCAUAUAAUCUUCUGGCGUGCGAAACCUAUAUGGGGUGUCGCCACCAAACUCUUUCUGAUCAACCUCCCUACUGAGUAGCUUUAUGUGCCCCNNNNNNNNNNNNNNNNNNNNNNNNNNNNNNNNNNNNNNNNNNNNNNNNNNNNNNNNNNNNNNNNNNNNNNNNNNNNNNNNNNNNNNNNNNNNNNNNNNNNAGAGUCAUGUUUUUGCGCAUGUAUUACAGAGAAUUGGGAAACUAGUCUUUGUCCUUGUUACAGAAUUUAGGGCACUGAGCUGAUAUAGCAUAGAAUGUAUAGUCUUCACUUUUUUGGAUACCUGCAAAUGCAAGGAGGGAUUACUGCUACAGAAUUUGCCAUUAGUCACUCCAAUUUAAGGAAACUUUCCAUCUUCAAUAGGUAAUUGACUCAACUUACCAUGUUGAAUUUGCAAGAUGAAAAAUUCUUAGGUUAAAUCUAAUCUUCCCUUGGGAAGCUCGUCCAAAUCUCCUCUUUGGAUCUUAGCUUUAAUCAACUCUUUGGGAAAAACUACUUCCUUGACCAAAUUCACCAACCUCAUUUACAAUCGGUCAAAUUCCAGCUGAGAUCACUAGCCUCACCUGUCAACUUAUCUAAACCUAUCCUUUAAAAAAUCAGCUGAUCCAACUCCUGAAAACAUUUCUAACCUCAGAAUCUUACUAUCCUAGACUUGCAAUCAAACAACCUAAAUGGCACUUUGUUGCUAAACCUGGUGCUCAGAUUAAAACACUUAAUGGUGUUGGUACUCCCAUUUGAUGAAUUCUCAUCAAUUAUUGAAUCCAAAAUGAAUGCUAGCCUUUCAAACUUGUUUGCUCUCUACUUGGCUUCAAGCAACUUAAGUGAGUUCCGCAUCUUCCUAUUGGACCAAAGUAGGUUGCAAAGGUUGGACCAAUCCCAAAAUAGCAUUUAUGGGCUGCCAUCUCGGUGGUUCUUAAUUGUAAGUAUAGCAAAAUUGGAGUUUUUGAAUCUUUCCAGAAAUUUUGUACAAGUUUCACAGCUUUUAAAUGCCCAAAUCUUAUGACAUUAGACCUUAGUUACAACAAUGUACAAAGCUUACAAUUCCCCCGAAGGCCAAUAAAUUUUAUUGUCUUCAAUAACAAACUAUCCGGAGAAACAUCACCGGCUAUAUUCUAGCUAAGCUCCACUUUAAGUCCAAGAACAAGUUGACCGGCGUUAUCCUGCCAUACUGAGCAAUUUGAGCGAGGCCCUUCUCACCUUGAGUUUGCAUGGCAAUGAUUUUUAAGGAAGAUUUCCUCCAUUACAGACUAAUGAAAGUGCAAUGGGAAUGACAGAUUUGGGUGCUAACCAACUACAAGGGAACUACCAAGGGCAUUAGCCAAUUGUAACAGUCUAGAUUUUCUCAAUUUGGGAAAUAAUCAGAUGGUUGACACCUUCUCUUCAUGAAUAGGCUUGCUUUCUUGUUUGAAGGUGCUCAUUAUGCGUACCAAUAUAUAUUUCUGUAGCCAUGAGGGACUUCAAUGCUCGUUCUCAGUUUCCUAACGUACAAAUUGUCGAUCUAUCCAUGAACAACUUCUUGACUGGCCUCCCAUCUGAAUACUUGAUUGCUGGAGUGACACGAAAGUCAACAAUUCAGAUGAUGCAACUACUAGAGGAACUACGUGCCCCCAUACCUCCCAUUUCCUGAGUUUGAGGGAAUUAUGACUACUCAAUGAUGAUAAUCAACAAAGGCAUUAUAAUAACAAAAGGUUAUUAUCUUUGGAAAUUGUUGGAAAAUAUGGUAACGAUUAGAGUCACAAAGCCCACAGUCUUGACUGUAUAUAGUCAAGGCUCCUCUAUCGCCAACGUGGGACAUUUUUGUCCACGUAACAUUCCCCCAAGUUCCUGUAGACUUGGAUCUAAGACCGCUUCAAGACUUCAUUUUCCAGAGAAUAUUUCUGGGUGAGAGGGGAUGAAUUUUUCUUUUCUAAAUUGAGCAGUUUUGCUUUCAUCUGCAAAAAAUCGAAAUGGAAACAAUUAAUCUUUAUCAUUGAAAAUUAUGCAAGACGUGCAAAUUUUCUGUUUGAUAAAUGAAAAGUGUUUAUUUGAUUGUGAGAGUGGGUUCCAAGGGAAGAAAUAGGAAGAGAACCAAAAUAGCAUUCUUGGCCAGAAAGUAAGGAAUUUGUAAAGAAAAGAGUGUAUCAGCAAUCUAGGAUGUUACGCAUGACGUACCACUUACCUAAAAUUGUCAAUGGUGUUAAGCAUGUUUUUAGUUCCUAAAUCUGUCAUGGAUAACAGCGCUGAGAAGUGGAAUUCUUCUCUUGUAGGGCAAGGUCUUGGCAAGAAAGAUUAUUGGAUUUAUUUCCUCUACGGUGAAUAUGUUGUGGGGAUAGGAGGAGAUUGAAAAUAGAAUGUUCCUUAUGAGCUUUCCCUCUUCCAGAACAUUGCCCGCUAUCCUCUUGUGCUAAGGAAAUGGAAGCCUGAACUGCAAAGUUAGGAGGUCUCCGAUGUGAAAACAGUUGUUGGGUUAAGCUACAGAGCGUUCCUAUGUAUCUUCUGACAUGGGAGGGUGGUCUUGAGGGUUUCUUCAAGGGUGAGAAAGGACUAAGGCAGGUUGAUCCUUUAUUGCAUGUUUUUUUAUGGUGAUGGAGGUUUUCCCAAAACUGUUCAAUAAUGCUGCAAGUCAUGGCAAAUCAAAAUACCAUUCUCAGCGCUCUAAGAUGAAACUUGCCGAAAAGGGGAUAUGAAUUCUUUGAACGAAGUAGUGGCCUUGUUUCAGAGACUUAAGCACACGUCAGGUCUUAGUCUUAAUCCCCUAAAGACCGGGAAAUAAAUCUAGCUGGUAUUAAGCGGCAGCUAGUGGAUGACAUACAUCUCUUGGUGACUUUAAAAAGGGCCAAGUGCCAGUUAGAUACCUUGGCCUUCCUCUGAUUUUAGGAAGGUUAAGUGAUCCAGUGUAAGCCUUUGGUGGAUAAGAUUACUUUUUGAAUGAGUUCUUGGACAAUUAGGCAUCCGAAAGAUUGCAACUCAUUAAGGAAGUGACAGCUUGGUGAAUCUUUGGAGUCAAUUUUUUUUUUUGCCAAAAAUGUUAUCAAUAUGAUGGAAAGCAAGUGUAUUGCCUCCCUUUGGAAGGGAAAAUCUGAAAGCGCUCGAGGUUCAAAAGUUUCUUGGAUGAUGCAUGUCUCCCCAAGUUUAAGGGUGGUUUAGGAUUUGAGGAAACUGGGGCCUUGCAACUUUGCUUGUCGAUUGAAGAACUUACGGAGAUUUUGUUGCUGGCUGGAUCCUAUGGGCCCUUGAACAUUGCCCACUGUCCAUUUGGGUGACAUGACAAAAUUUCUUCAGCAUAAAUUAAUUUCUCAAUUUCUAUUCCCUAAAUAAAUUUUUGAGUAAAGAAACGGGUUUAUCAACGAUUCAAAAUUUUUGUUUUUAGAAUAGAAAUUCAUUUGAUAACAAAAUAAAAUUUCUAUUUCUAGGAGAGGCAACGGCGGGCAUCCGUGGUCCGAUGAUGGGCGUCCAACGAUGGGUGGCUGACGUUCGGCAUCAGGCGGCGGGCGACCGGCGGCCGGCAAUGGGUGAGCAGCGAGUAGUAAUAGGAGUGAAUGAUAAAAAGAGUGUUCAUUUCUUACUUUUGUUCCAAAAAUAGAAAAAAAAAUAGAAAAAAAUAGAAAAGCUAAUAAUUUUAGGACGCAUUUGGUAACGAUUCUGUUCCUGGGAACAAAUUCUGAUUUGAAAUGAUUUUUUUUUUAUUUUAUUCCUGAAAACUGAUUCUGAGUAAAAGAAAAUGCGUUUGGUAACUAUACAAAAUUUCUGAUUCUAGAGUAGAAUUGCAUUUGGUACCGUGCUAAUUGAUUCUAUUCCAAAUCAUUUUUUUUAUUUUUUAUUUUUUAUUUUUUUUUAUUUUUUUCUUUUCUCUUUUUUCCUUUUUUUUUCUUUUCUUUCUUUUCUUUUUUUCCUUUUUUUUUCUUUUCUUUUUUUUAAAUUUUUUUUCGCCUAUUCUUCUUCUUCUUCAAGCCGGUCGCCAGACCGGCGACCGACUAGAUGAGGGCUAGCGACCUCAUUAGAGUGUUGCCAGCCCUCAACAAGGCCGGCCCUCGUCGGCCGAGCCUCGCCGAUAGCUGAGUGAGGCUCGACUCGCCAGAUCCAGCAAGGCCGAGCCUUGCCGAUGGCCAGGCCGGCCUCGCCGGGGCUGUGCGAGGUCGACCUAGCCACCGACGGGGCUGGACAAGCCUCGCCGGUGGCCAGGCGAGCCUCGUCAAGGCUAGGCGAGGCCUGCCUAGCCACCGACAGGGCUGGGUGUCGUGAGGCUCACCCACCUACCGGCUAGGCACGGCCUCACCGGUGGCCAAGUCGGCGACUUGUGCAAGCUCACUGAUGGUUGGGUGAGACUUUGGCGAGCUCGCCAGACCUCGCCGGUGGCUGGGCGCGCUCGCUGGACCUCAUCGAUGGCUGGGCGCACUCGCCGGACCAGUUGCCGGUGAUUGGCGGUAGCGACCGGCGACAGCAGGCGACGGUGGGCGGCGGUCGCAAGAUGGCGGUCGAUGAAGAAGAAGAAGAUUUUUGAUUUUCAAUUUGUUCCUGGAACAAGAAUCAACUUUUUUUUUUUUUAUUCUUGAUUCUCCUCCAAAUCUGUUCCUAGGAACAAAAAUUUUACCAAAUGCAAUUCUGUUCCAAAACUACUCCCAGGAACAAAAAAUCAGAAUCUAGCACUGUUGGGAUGGUUACCAAACAGGCUCUUAACUUCUGAUUUUGCUCCAAAUCUAUUUAUAGAAUAGAAAUUUGUUUAAAAAAAAUGAUAUUGCGUUACUAAAUGAAUUUUUGUUCAAACAUGUUAUGAGGAUCACAAAAAUAAAAAUAAACAUAAACAUAAAUUUUGUCAUGGACAUCUUUAAAGGGCAAUCUAACUGGGCAAUAAGUCCAACUAGCGAGAGCAGCUAUGCUUGUAAAAUAGUAUAUAAUGUAUAGUUUCUUUUAAAAUUAAUUUUAAAAUUCGACGGAAAACCCAGUAAUUAAUUAAUUAAUUGUAAUUUGCACUGCAAAGCAUAGCUUGAGUGGUCACUUUUCUUCAUGUCCCAUAUAAAACUCGACCUCUCUUACGACUUGGUGUUGAGAAGACUUUUUUAGAUAUGCUAAUUGUCAUGUCUUGCACAUAAUGGAUGACGACUGGAAAAAUGGGAAGUCAAGAUUUUCAAAUUAUGAUAGGGGUAAUCUAUUCUUAACUUUUCAUCACCAAUAUAAAAAGAUUACUAGAAGCUCGCUAGACUAGAUCUUUGCUAGAAAUGCAUAUCCUCUUAGAUUGCGAAUGAAAAUUAUUUUAUUUCUUUUUAUUUCUUUUUUUUUUCUGUUAUUUAGAAUAGGUUUGGAAUAGAAAUUCGUUUGAUAAUGCAAUUUCAUUUUUCUAUUUUCAAAACAAAUUUUUAGCUAAGAAAUAGAUUUUGAAUAAAAAUGAGAAAAGUAGAAAUUUUCUACUUUUCUAUUUUUGGAACAGAAAUAGAAAUAAAAACUCUUUUCAUUACUUGUCAUUACCAUCCUCUGCUAGCAAAUGGUCGUCGCCCUCCACCCAUUGCCCACCCGCCACCCGCCAGCCACCAAUCACCACCCUUCACCAACCACUCCAACCACUGCUAAGAAAUUUUAAGGCUAUCAAACGAAUUUCUAUUUUAGGAAUAUAAAUUCUGUCACAUUAUCAAACGUAUAUCUUUGUUCAAAAACUCACCUAAGAUAUAGAAAAAGAAAAAAAAAAUAUUUUUGAUAAGAUAUUAUUCUUAAGAACGGAAUGAUUAUUGUUUACGCCUUUAUUAAACUUGAAUUUAACCGUGAACAAGUCAUAACACAGUCAAAUCCAAAUGGGUUUCAUAGGUAGAAAGACAAAAAAGUUGAAAGGUUAACGUCCCCAAGACAUGUCGGUGGGCGCUUAGGCAAAAUUUUGAAAAACAAAACCGAGGCAAUUUUCGCUGAGCAAACCACAAAUGCAGUUGAUUACUUCGUCUCAAUUGCUCUCAGCUCACUUGUGACAUGGCCUUUGGACGAUGACCACAUAUGUCUCACGUAAGGGUGAGCAUCGAUCUAAGGUCAACCCUGGACCAACCUUGGAUCGGCCCAACUCUACCGGUCCUAGUCCAGUUCCUAGGAAGAUCAAGUCGAUCAUUGGUCCUGGGAUUCCUAGACCAAUACUGUACGGGUUGAUCCUCGAUUCUGAAAGUUUAGAUAUAUAUAUCUAAUAUAUUAUUUAUAAUUUUUUAUAUAGAGAAAAUCCUAAAAUAAACGGCGCCAACAGCAUUAAAUAGCUCCUUAGUAUGGAGUUGAAUAAUUUUACACUAUUUUUUAAUAACUUAGAUCUUUUAAUGUCUUUUACGGCGUCAAAAGUCAUAAUUUACAAAGAAGAAAUAUGUUUUUAUGAGGAGUCCUCAGGGUGUUCAAAAGAGCAUAAAUAACUCCUCACGGCAUCCUCAUCUAAUACUCGUUUUCUUCUAUCCUAUUUGUUAUCUUAGUCUUUAAUUUGCCAAAAUCAAAAGAAAUAACUUUUAUGCUCGCCACUUAACACUAGCCUCUCACUUGCUUUGGGUCACUCCUGCCGCUCGCCGCUCAAUGCUUGCCUAGCUUGUUGCUCCCUGCUCGAUGCUCGAUGCUCACCCCACUCGAUACUCGUCACUCGCCUCUCUUAGCUAACCUCGCUUGUCAUUGAACCUAUAAGGUCAGUCCAGUUCUCACUCACUUUUUCAAGGAAUACAAAAAUGAAACAAAAAAUUAUUAAUUGAUCCUGAGUUGAUUAUAGAAUUGGACCAAACCCAUUAGGUCGAUCUGGUCCUUGAUUGCCUUUUUAGAUAGUACAAAAAAUGAAAUAAAUAAAUUAUCGGUUGAUCCCGAGUUAAUCUUGGAACUGGACCGAACCCACUGGGUUGGUUUGAUUCUUGGUCCCAAGCUCAAUAGGAUCGGUCCUCGGUCCUCGAUUCAAAAAAUUGAUAACCAGUACUAUGUGGGUUGGUCCUAGAGUAAGGGGGUGGGCCAACCCAAUCCAAACCAUGCUCACCCCUCUUCACGUUCCACGUUCCGACCCAUGGACAGUGCCCUUUUUAUUAUUUUCCUUUGUUUUCUUGCUUUUUUUUCUUUUUCUUUUUUUUUUACUUCCUUUUUGACAAAUCCUUUAUAGAGGAUCAAAAUCCAAUUUGUCAUCAGCGUAAUCUAGAGGAGAGUUUCCCAUGUCAAAAGGUGGAAACCACAUUUUCUUGAAAACGUCGUCCGCCCUUCUUCUCCCUUCCCAUCACCAUCUUCAUCGUACACCACUGAAAAUUAGUCCACGAAAUGCAUAAGAAAUAGCAUCGCGAAGAUUUCGUAGAGGUAAAAUCGACAUUAGAAUCAGAAAAAGGAGCCAAAUGCUAAUGUUCCCACAAAUAUGAGAGCUCGCCAUUAGGGAUGGGCAUUGGGGCGAGUCCAAUCCCUAGCCGGCUAACUAGGAACCUGGGCCAUCCCUGUCCUGUUCCCCACGCGGGGCAGGGUGGUCGCCGGCAGUUCUUUGAAAGGGCGGCAGAGAGUAAGAUGGAGAGAGAGAGAGAGUGUAUUAACACAAUACCAACAAUUUUGCUUUAAUUCCCACUAGUAUCCGUGUAUUAAAUCAGAGCGGGAGGUACACUCAAGUCAACGCUCAGCGAGCCAAACCGACAUUGUCCUUAACAUUGUUCGUAGCGAGCCAAAUCGACGAGAACUGACGCUCAGAGCUUAAUGGAUAAUUAGGAUACGUUUGGUAACGUUUUUUGUUUAAAAAUUGUUCCAAUGAACAAAAAUAGAAAAAACCAUUUCUCUUCCGGGGAAUAAUUUUUUAACAAAAGAACGUGUUUGAUAAAUUUGUUCCUGGAAUAGAAAAAGAACAUGAACACGUUUGGUAAACUUGUAUGAUUUUUUUGUUUCCUUUAAUUUUUUAAUAUUUUUAUUUUAUUUUUAUUUUUUUCUUUUCCUUUUUUUCUUUUUUUUUUCCCUUCCUUUUGGUCGGUCGCCGGCCUCAACCAUGGCCGACGACUGGCCGACAAGGGCCGGUGGCCUUGCCCAGCCAUGGCGAGGAUCGCCAGCCCUCGGCGAGGCCGAGCCUUGCUAUGGCUAGGCGAGGCUCGGCCUCACCUUGACUGGGCGAGCUCGAGCUUGCCCAGAUUCAGGGAGGCCGAGCUCACCCAGCCACUAGCGAGGCUCAGCCUCGCUCGGCCAUUGCCAGGUGAUGCCUACCUGGCUGUGGCCCGGCGACGUUGGGUGAGCUCGCCUAGAUUCGGUGAGGCCGAGCCUCACCAGCCGCGCGAGGUCGGCCUCGCCUUGGCUAGGCAAGCUCGAGCUCGCCCAGAUUCGGUGAGGCCAAGCUUCGCCAGUGGUUAGGCGAGCUUGAGGUCGCCGGCCCUCACUAGCUCUUGACAGGCGGUCGCCAACCAUGGUCGAUGGCGGCGACCGGUCCACUGAAUAAGAAGAGGAAGAGAAAGAGGNNNNNNNNNNNNNNNNNNNNNNNNNNNNNNNNNNNNNNNNNNNNNNNNNNNNNNNNNNNNNNNNNNNNNNNNNNNNNNNNNNNNNNNNNNNNNNNNNNNNNNNNNNNNNNNNNNNNNNNNNNNNNNNNNNNNNNNNNNNNNNNNNNNNNNNNNNNNNNNNNNNNNNNNNNNNNNNNNNNNNNNNNNNNNNNNNNNNNNNNNNNNNNNNNNNNNNNNNNNNNNNNNNNNNNNNNNNNNNNNNNNNNNNNNNNNNNNNNNNNNNNNNNNNNNNNNNNNNNNNNNNNNNNNNNNNNNNNNNNNNNNNNNNNNNNNNNNNNNNNNNNNNNNNNNNNNNNNNNNNNNNNNNNNNNNNNNNNNNNNNNNNNNNNNNNNNNNNNNNNNNNNNNNNNNNNNNNNNNNNNNNNNNNNNNNNNNNNNNNNNNNNNNNNNNNNNNNNNNNNNNNNNNNNNNNNNNNNNNNNNNNNNNNNNNNNNNNNNNNNNNNNNNNNNNNNNNNNNNNNNNNNNNNNNNNNNNNNNNNNNNNNNNNNNNNNNNNNNNNNNNNNNNNNNNNNNNNNNNNNNNNNNNNNNNNNNNNNNNNNNNNNNNNNNNNNNNNNNNNNNNNNNNNNNNNNNNNNNNNNNNNNNNNNNNNNNNNNNNNNNNNNNNNNNNNNNNNNNNNNNNNNNNNNNNNNNNNNNNNNNNNNNNNNNNNNNNNNNNNNNNNNNNNNNNNNNNNNNNNNNNNNNNNNNNNNNNNNNNNNNNNNNNNNNNNNNNNNNNNNNNNNNNNNNNNNNNNNNNNNNNNNNNNNNNNNNNNNNNNNNNNNNNNNNNNNNNNNNNNNNNNNNNNNNNNNNNNNNNNNNNNNNNNNNNNNNNNNNNNNNNNNNNNNNNNNNNNNNNNNNNNNNNNNNNNNNNNNNNNNNNNNNNNNNNNNNNNNNNNNNNNNNNNNNNNNNNNNNNNNNNNNNNNNNNNNNNNNNNNNNNNNNNNNNNNNNNNNNNNNNNNNNNNNNNNNNNNNNNNNNNNNNNNNNNNNNNNNNNNNNNNNNNNNNNNNNNNNNNNNNNNNNNNNNNNNNNNNNNNNNNNNNNNNNNNNNNNNNNNNNNNNNNNNNNNNNNNNNNNNNNNNNNNNNNNNNNNNNNNNNNNNNNNNNNNNNNNNNNNNNNNNNNNNNNNNNNNNNNNNNNNNNNNNNNNNNNNNNNNNNNNNNNNNNNNNNNNNNNNNNNNNNNNNNNNNNNNNNNNNNNNNNNNNNNNNNNNNNNNNNNNNNNNNNNNNNNNNNNNNNNNNNNNNNNNNNNNNNNNNNNNNNNNNNNNNNNNNNNNNNNNNNNNNNNNNNNNNNNNNNNNNNNNNNNNNNNNNNNNNNNNNNNNNNNNNNNNNNNNNNNNNNNNNNNNNNNNNNNNNNNNNNNNNNNNNNNNNNNNNNNNNNNNNNNNNNNNNNNNNNNNNNNNNNNNNNNNNNNNNNNNNNNNNNNNNNNNNNNNNNNNNNNNNNNNNNNNNNNNNNNNNNNNNNNNNNNNNNNNNNNNNNNNNNNNNNNNNNNNNNNNNNNNNNNNNNNNNNNNNNNNNNNNNNNNNNNNNNNNNNNNNNNNNNNNNNNNNNNNNNNNNNNNNNNNNNNNNNNNNNNNNNNNNNNNNNNNNNNNNNNNNNNNNNNNNNNNNNNNNNNNNNNNNNNNNNNNNNNNNNNNNNNNNNNNNNNNNNNNNNNNNNAAAAAAGAGAUAUAAAGAUAAAAAAAAGAAAAUAUAGAAAAAAAUAAGAAAGAAAAAAAAUAGAACGUGAUUAAGGAAAUAUGAAGAUAGAGGAACAUUGGUAAUAAAAACAAGCAGAUAGACAACCAAGUCGGAGGCAGACAGCCGACCAAAGAAAAAGAAAGAAGAAAAGAAAGAGAAGAAAAAAAAUAGGAGAGAGAAAAUUUGUUUAUCAGAAGUGUUCCAAGAACAAGAAACAAAGUUUUUUUAGUUUCUAGUUUUUGUUCCAAAAUUUGUUCCCGGGAGCAAAAAAUAGAUUUGGAACAAAAACGCAAACAAACACGUUUCUAUUCAUUUUUUAACUAGAGGGCCGUUUGAGGAACUAAAGAAUCGACCAAUCAGGAUGAGUUCGAAGAGAAUAGCCUGGUUGUCUUCGACGAACUCAAGCGAUGCAGGCUUGAGGUCGUCCUCAAUGGUGCUAUAGUCGGACUUGGUGGACUCGACGGGCUUCUUGCAAUACUUGAUUGACAUUGAAGUACGAUUGCAAUCAGGGUUUUGCGAUCGCAAUCUGAGGAACCACUGUCACCACCAGGAAUGCACACCAAUAGGAGAGACAAGGACACAUUGUGGUCGACAAGGAAGAUCACCCUUGGGAGCUUCAGCAGUGAUCCAUUCGAGGUCAACGAGGCUGUGGCCGAUGAGUCACAGACGAUCAAGCACAUAUGCUCCCCCUCUUUAUUCACAAUUGUGGCUGAUGUUUUAUCCCAUAGUCUCUCCAAUGUUCUAUAAGAGGGAUGCCUUUAGGGAAUUAAGCUAAAAAGGAGGAUCCUAAACCCCCCUUCUCCUCACAUAUGACUCCCUAUUCUUUCUUGUUGCUAACCCAGUUUGAACUGCAGACGUUCAAAAAAGAUUCUUGACCAUAUGGUACUGCUCAAGCCAGAGGGUCGUGUUGCAAAAAUCCUGUAUAUGCUUCAGUCCUAACACUGGGGCAAAGUUGAGAACAAAGGUAAGCACAGUCCAGGGAAUCAAUGCUACUCAAGACCCUGGUAACCAUUUGGGUCUACCUAUUCUAUGGGGUAGCUCUAAACAUAAAGCUCUUGACAUUGUUAAGGAUAGUCUUUGAAAAGAAUGCCAAGCUGGAAAACUAAAUUAUUGUCACAAGCUGGUUGGGAGAUUGAGGUAAAACCAGUGGCUUAUGCAGUACCAACUUAUUUUGUUGUCGUGUUUCAAGUUUCCAAAGAUGUGGCAUGAGGACGUUUAUGCAGCUAUAGCCGAUUAUUGGAGGGGUCCGCAGAAUAAUGAAGGGAAAGUGCAUUGGAAGAGUAGGGAAAGCUUAACUGAAGCAAAGUUAGAAUGAGGCUUGGGUUUUAGUAGUUUAUCACAGUUCAACAUAACCCUCCUUGCUGAGCUUGCUUGGAGAAUCCAAAGCAACCCCUCAGAAUUCUGGGUGCAAAUAUUUCAAGGGCUCUACUUUCCCCUUUGUAGCUUCGUGGAAGUUAGAAGAGGUGGCAGAACGUCUUAGGGACGAAGUAGAGUUUUGGAGGGAGAGGUCUAAUUAAGGAAGGUGGGUUAUGAUAAAUUGCUGAUGGGAAGUCGGUCAAAGUUUGGGAGGAUAGGUUGGUGAAGGAGAGUUGAGACCUGAUGUUGCAUCCUCUAAUCUGACCCAGGUGAAAAAGUAAUUAAGACUGGAGUCUCUAAUUGGUGCAGAUACUAGGAUUUGGAACUUGACUCUCCUUAAGGACAGCAUACGGUAGGAGGAGCAAUGAUCGGUGUUGAGAAAUCACAUAAGGUGGAGAAGUUCUGAUGACCAACGAUUUGGCCCCGGAACGGGAGUGGUGGCUCUAUAGUAAAGUCUCUACCACUUUACCAUGCAAAAUAGAAAGAAACAUCUAAGCCUAGACCCUCAAGCUCUCCUACUAUUGAUGGUAUAGUUUGGAAAUUAGUAACAGGCAUUGACUCUCCUCCCAUGAUAGGAGACUUCCAUUGGCAACUUUGCUCGAAUGUUAUGCCUGCUGCUGCUAAUCUGUGCAAACAAAAAGAAUAAAGUUUCUCCUGCUUGUAUGUUCUGUUUUGAGAUUAUAUCUAUAGAGCAUUUAAUACUCAAUUGCUUUAAUUUGAAAAUCCAAAAAACGAAGUGAUUCAUAUAGGUAUUUUUAAAUGAAAAGUCAACGCAACUCAUUUCAAAUACAAAAUGGUGUUUCUAUACAAAGUUGUCUCCAAGUAAAAUUUAGAAGAAGAGAAAUAUUUCUCAAAGAAGAGUGGAUGGUAAGCGAGAUGGAAACUUUCCUGAUUUUCACCUUGAAGAGUGAUAAUCCGAUCAUUGACACCUCUCCUUUAUGGAUUGGCUUGUUUUCUAAUUUGAAGGUGCUCAUUUUCAAUGCCAGUAGAUUUCAUGGAGCCAUGAAAGAGCCCGAAGCUCAUUGCCAAUUUCCUACAUAUCUUCAGUAGGUCAUAUAGUAACUCUCAAUAUUCAUAGCAAUUUCUCUAGACUUUUCUAUACAAGUCAACUUACCUUUAUCAACUUAGUGGUGAGAAUACACAAGAUUUUAUGUCUUGGACAUAUUGCAUCCGUUGUGAGUGUUAGAUAGGCUAUGGUAUUAUUGAAUUGAUUUGUGCCAUUUGAUACACAAGUUUUCACUUGAGGUCUUCUCAUUCAUUUAAGAAAAUAUGACAUCAAAUUCGAUAAAUUUUGACCCCUCAAACAAAAAAAUUGAUCUUGCACGGUAUUGCUUUUGCAAUUCUUCACAUUUAAAUAUUAAAGACAUUUAAAUUUUGGGUAUAAAGUAUUCGCAUCAAACAAAGCAUAGAUCAACAUUUCUUUAAGAUUGGCUUGAUGGAUAGUCUAAUAUGCGAAAUAUGAGUCCCAACUCCCUUGAGGUUCCAAAAUCAAGCCUGCGCGAGCCUAGCCCUAAGCUAAUCAAACUCGGCCUAAAUGGAAAGGCAACGCGGUCAUUCAAGGACAACAAGGGAAAUUCAAAUCGGCCAACACCCAUCGUCGAGGGAGGGGCAUGUAAAGGUCACUAGUUUGGGAACUUUAUAAGAGUAGCUGUUGUCAAGAGCCACCCUCUUCAAAGGAAACUCAUUUUGUGAGGAAUACUCGCACAUUUGAUGGACAAGGAUCAAUUGGCAGCUGAUUGUUGUUUCCAAAAUACUUGACCAGAAUUCCCUGAACAAUUUAGUAACUGCGUGAUACUGUUUAUCCUGACAUUUCUUCAUAAUAUUCAACCACCAAAUCCAAGUACCUAACAAUACUGCGGAAGAGGAAGACCAAGUUUUCUCAUUUUCACACCUACAACAACCAAAGAUAGUUACAAUUAAUUUUUCUUGCACCAGAUCAAAAUGCAAGCUUCGAAUUCCCCUCUUUUAAAUUUAGAUUGCCAAUGUUAAUUAUAUUCCAAGCGACAAACCUUCCACGUAUUGGGAUUACAUGUAUCGCACAUUCGCAUGUUCACAUUCAUGGAUAAUGACCGGUAUCUACUCAUUCAUUUCAAUUUAAAGCAAAAAAAAAAAAAACUAUAACUACAAAACAAUAGCAUAACCGCAUAUUUUACUAGAUCAACAAUAAUUAUUUAGAGUCAAUAAACAAAUCGAAUAGUUUGAUGUAUAUCGAAUAUUUACAUGGUGUUGUCAACAUUUAGAUUUCUUUAAACACCUUUAAGAAGCUAUACAAACCCAUACUGAGUCUCACUGUAAAACACAAGUUAUAGUAUAAUAAUUACAUUGAGAUUGAUUUUCUCUAUCACAUAAAUGGAUUUUAUACAAUAUUAAUCCAAAAAUUCGCAAUGCAGCGAAGCAAAGCAAAGAUGAUGGAAGACCGACUUGCUUUCCCUCGCCAGUCUUUUCCUUUUGACUUUUUCAUUUGAGUAGCUUUUGUCGGUCUUUGCCUUGUCUCUGUCUUUGGUUGGGAGAAAAGAAUGGGAAAAUGCAAGGAAGCAAGCAAAGGUGAUAGAAGACUUUGACUUGCUUUCCCUCACCUCACGCCGGGAAGUAGAUUGCCUAACAACCAUGACUUGAGAGGUGCGUGCGUCCCAAGUAAUUAAUUUAAAUAUGAGUAUUCAUCGCCUCCUCUCCUGACCUAUGCGAUAAGUAACUUUGAAUUAGAAAAGGUAAUUUUCUGCCUGUCUAUGGUUAGUAAAUCUCAAUGUUGAUAGUCAUAGUUCAUUCAACAAAGUAAGUUUAUAUACCAACUUUUAACAUAGAAAAAGGUAACACAAUUUCAUAUGGUUAGUAACUCAUUAAUCUGACUUGUAAUAUAUAUACAUAAUUAGUUUUUCUUAUAUACAUUGAUGUAACUUUCCCCACAUCUGUGUGUCAGUAACUUUUCACAAGAUUGCAGUGAAAUUUUUGGAGAUGCAAGUGACAUCCAGGCUAGAGUUGAUGACUUUGCACUAAAUUUUGUUUUAAUCCAUUCGUGAUAAAAGCAUCAAUAAUACUAAGAUCAUUAAUUUACUACUCUCCAUCCAAUCAUUUUAGUAUAUCUACAUCCAAGCAAACGGAAAUCUAUUUUCCACCUUUUAAAUGGAAACAAGUAAAGUUAUUAUCGAGAUUUAUAUUUACUGAAAUCGCUGGUCCUUGAACUUUUAUUUGAAUGUGUCCAUGUCAUAUCUAAUCAAACAAUCGAUUCAAUUACAUCCUAAAAUAUUUGUCUAAUGUGCGCCUUGAUCUUAUCUCUUAAUUGAUUCUUUUCCUGACCUUUUUAAAAAUAUUCAAUAUCGUCUCAUUUUAGUAAUUAGAAGGACAAAUCCGUACAAUGUCCCCUUCUAGUCUUUUGCUCGUCAAGAACAAAUGGUUUGUUCUUUACUUUCUACAAGCUUUAGCUACUAAUGUUGAGCCGGUUCCUAACACUUCCAACAUGUGAGAAAUGGUAGUUAGACAUUAUUUAGUAGGAUACAUUUUCAGUUCCGAGGAUGAAGUUUUGGAAAGCUACCGAGAGGAACAAUAUAUUAGCCCAUACACUUCUAUGCUUUCAUCCGACUUAUCUUCUGUAUAAAAAAGCAAUAAAGUAAUUAUACAAAAAUAGUAUAAUUAGUAACUCAUUUUAUAUAUAAAAAAAAAAAUGCAUCUACCUAUUGGUAACUAGUAAUUUUUCUAUGCAAUAAAUAAUUAUGGAAUAAAAAAAAAGUAAUUUUCUGCCGAUUGUUAGUAAGUCGUACUGUUCAAAGUAAUUUCUCUAGACUUUCCUAUACACAUCAACUUAUGUUCAUUAUCUUAUUGGACUACAUAAGAUUUUCUAUAGUGGACACUUUACAUUUGGUGUGAGUGUUAUGCCACUGUUAAACUAGAUUGUACCAAUAUUUUUUUUUUUGGUCAGAAGAUUGUACCAAUUGACACCUAAAUUUUUGUUAGAAGACUUCCAUUCUUUUAAUAAGAAAAUUGGAGAUUGAAUUCGACAGAGUUUGACCCCUAAACAAAAAUGUUGAUCUUGCCUGGUCAUGCAUUCAUAAUUCUCACUUCGUUCUUCGCAUUUAGAUAUCAGGGACAUUUAAAUUUUGGGCAUGAAGUAUUCACAUCGAGCAAAGCAUGAUUCAAUCUGUGAGUUUUCUUGGGAGUGGCCCAAUAGAUGGCUCCAUAUGCAAAAGUAAUUACUGAACUCACUCGAGGUGCCAAAAUUAAGUCCGCUUGAGUCCAGUAACUCCAGCCCCUAAGCUGUAAUCGAACUUGGCUGAAUGGAGGGAAAGGAAGCGCGGCCAUUCAAGGGCAGCUAGUGAAAUUACAAUUGGCCAAUACAAUUUUCGAGGCCAAUUCCAGUCUGAACAUAUAAGAUGGAAGGUCUUGUUCAGUUGCUGCAUGCGUCCAAAUGGAAGAAAAGGCAAAGGAGAAUCAAAAGAAGGAAAGGGGCGUGUAGUUUCCAUCUUGACGAUGGGAGCAAUCUCGGCAUUCACAGACCUGAAUUCACAGCCAAAAAAAAAAAACCAAGAAAAUCUUGGCAUAGGAAAGCAGAGGAUUCUCGGCCAAGUGGUGCAGCGAUUUUCAGCAUUUGAUCAUUUCCAAAGAUAGCUUGAAAAGGAAAAGGGUGGUGCUUUUUCUGCACGGCCAAGAAAGAGAAACACGAAGAGAGGGUUUCGGUCAACAGAAGAGAGAAUACUAAAAGGAAAGAAAGAACAAAGAAGUGGUCGGCAAAAGAAAAGAAAUAUAAGAACAGAGAGCAAAAGGUUUCCCGUUUAAUUUCCUCGAAAUUCACUUUUCCUCUGCACUUCAAUAUCCAAGAAUUUUACUCCUUACAGUCAAAUUUCUCCAUCAUUUCAUUUUAAAGCCCGGCGCACCUUGCACUUGGAAAAAGCCAAAAAUGAAAUCAUUUUAGCACUGUUUUGAAGUUGAUCAAUUCUUGUUCAAGUUAGAACUGUAGUGUGAUAACAUAUUUUAUCUAAAGAAGGGGCCUGUAAAGGUGACCGAUUUGGGAACUUUUUAAGAGUCAUUGUUGUCAAGAGCCACCCUCUUUAAAGGAAACUCAUUUUAUGAAGAAUACUUAGCACAUUUGAUGGACAGGGAUUACUUAGCAUCUAACUGUCGUUUCCAAAAUACUUUAUCAGAGUUUCCUGAACAAUUUCGUGACUGCGUGAUAUUGUUUAUCCAGACUCUUCUUCAUAACAUUCAACCAUCAAAUUCGUUAAAAACAACUGAUUGUUCUUUCCUAUUUCCAAGUUUUAGGUACUCUUGUUGAUAUAGUUCCCGACACUUCUAACAUAUGAGAGAAAUGGUUGUUAUAUAUAAUUUUGUAGGUCACAUUUUCAGUUCCAAGGAUCCAGCUUUGGACAGUUAUCUAGAGGAACAUUAUAUUGGUCCAUACUCUACUAUGCUUUCAUGCAUUUUAAUUUUUGGUAUAAAAAAGCAAUAAAAUAAUUAUACAAAAUUAGUAUGAUUAGUAACUCCUUUUACACUGAAAAAGCAUCUAUCUAUCAGUAACAAAUAAUUUUUCCAUCCGCGAAAUUAUGAUAAAAUAAGAAAAAAUAAUUUUCUGCCUAUCUAUUGUUAAUAAUUCUCAAUGUUCAUAGUAAUUUCCCUAGACCGAGCUCGUGCUAGCCCGGUCCCAAGCAAUUCAAACUCGGCCUAAUGAAGGGAAAGGAAGCGCGGCCAUUCAAGAACAGGGACGAAAGUCCAAAUCAGCCCUCACUAGGGGUGAGCAUGGUCCGGGUUGGUCCGGGCCACCCCCUAACCCUAGGACCAACCCGUACAGUGUCGGUCCUCAAUUUUUAGGACCAAGGACCGACCCUAUUGAGCCUGGGACCAAGGACCGGACCGACCCAAUGGGUUCGGUCCGGUUCCAGGGUCAAUCCGGGACCGAUCGAUAAUUUUUUUCGUCUUAUUUUUUAUACUUCCUAAAAAAGCAAACCUAAAAAUUCAAAUUACGCAUCCAUGAUCCAUCAACAAUACGAUAUUGUGCAACUAAAUUAUAAAAUACCAAUACAUAUUUAGCAAAUUUAAGAUGACACAAUAAUAGAAAUUUCAUAUCCGCUAACCGCUCAUCGAGAUAUGGGACAAGAUGGAAAGUUCUUGUAAUCAUCUAUCUUUAAUAUUUAUAACACCAUAUGCAAAAGCGUUUUCCUGAUCAUGUAGAGUUUACUCAACCAAAAAAUGAGCUUUGCACCACUUGACUAGCAUUUGAUCAUGUAGAGUUUACUCAACCAAAAAAUGAGCUUCACACCACUUGACUAACAAAUCACCGUAGCAACUGCAGUACUACUCUACUCUUCAAAAACUUCUACCAUUUAACACAAAUUGAAAAGCAAUUAAAUCAUAAAAUUUUUAAAAUACUUAAUAUAAACCAUGAAUAUAUAACUUCACAUCUUGUUAAUUCACUUGAACUUCUAAACACUUGAAAACAAAACAAACGACACAUAAUUAAUACUUAACAAAAGUUUUAAAUUGAAAUUACUAUUAGUGCUAUUGAUAGAACAUCUCAAUAUAAUAUAAUAUAAUAGACAUUUUACUUAGGUUUGAAUAUAUAAAAGAAUUAUAAAUAAUAUAAUAUAAUAUACAGGGUUGGUCCAGGGUUGGACCGACCAAAAACUCUUAGGACCGAGGACUAACCCGCACAGUGUUGGUCCUGGAAUUUCAGGACCAAGGACCGACCCAGUCCCCUUGGGAACCGGACCAGGACCGGCAGGGUUGGGCCGGUCCAGGGUCGGUCCAGGGUCGACCCUAAACCGCUGCUCACCCCUAGCCCUCACCCAUUCUCAAAGCCAAUUCCAAUCUGAACACAUAAGAUGGAAGGUCUUGUUCAGCUGCACACGUCGAAAUUGGAAAGGAGAAUCAAAGACGGAAGGGAGCGUGCAGUUUCCCUUUCGACGAAAGGAGCAAUCUCGGCAAUUAGGGACCGGAAUUCACGGCCAAAAGAAGAGGAUUCUCGGCCAAGUGGGGAGGGAGAUUUUUCAGCAAUUAAUAAUUGUCAAAGAGAGCUCGAAAAAGAAAAGGGUGGAGCUUUUCUUCGUGGCCAAGAAAGAGAAAUACAGAGAGAGGAAAACUUUAAUAAAAAGAAGAGAAAAACAGGGAAGUGGUCAGCAAGCGAGAGGACUAAAAAGAAGAGGAAAACAGGGAAGUGGUCGGCAAAAGAAAACAGAGAUUUUGAAAAACAGAGGACGCAGAUUCUUGUGGAGGAUAUGCAAGCAAGAUUGAAAAGACGGAGAGAGAGAGAGGGCUGUCGGGGCACGCGUGAGGAAGUGACAGAGAGCAAAUGGUGCAAUUUCACCAUAAGUCAGUUUAAUUUACUUUCGAGGCAUCUAAAUUUCCUAAAAGUUACACUUUUUCUUUGCACUUUAAUUUCCAAGAAUUUUACUCCUCAUAGUUAAAUUUCUCCACCAUUUCAUCUCAAAGCCUAGAGCACCUUUCACUUGGAAAAAGCCAAAAAUGAAAUCAUGUUUAGCAUUGUUUUGAAAUUGAAUAAUUAUUGCAAAGUGCAUUUGCCAUCAUCUAAAGAAAUACUUUUGUUAAGGGAAUUUUUCCCGAAUAAAAAUAUACAAUUUUCCUCUAUUCUGACUAAAGGGCGGGUAAGAGUGUUCAGCUCUAAAGACCUUCACUGUAUCUUAUCAUAAAAGGUUCCCACAUCCCUAUAAAGUAUGCGGAUUGAACUGUAAUUGUUUCAGAGUUUUUCAACUUAGCUUCACCGAGAGAGAGAUGUUAUGGUGGAGAAGAGAAAAAAAUUUCAAAUAAUAGUUGCAUCACGAGAUAGUAAAAUGUAGUAUAAUAAACUUAUUAAUAUUGAGUAUUUUCAAUUUUCAAGCGCCAAAUUAAAAGAACAUGUAUAUUGCAUUCGGGCCAAUUACUUCACAUAUGACUGACACAUAAAAUACAUUUCCUUAGUAAAAGGGUAAUUUGGUCUUUUAAUUGAGGAUUUUUCUCUAAAGAUGUACAUUCUACAUAUAUCAAAAGCUGAGGAGCGUACAUGAUAUGGGAGUACUUUUGAAAUUUUCUUUAAUAUGAUCAAAGUAAAUAAAAACUCAAAAACCAUCUUUAUGCUCUAUCUUGGUUUCACUUUAUAUCCUCCAUCUCUAAAGUCAUGAAUCUAUGAAUUUGUUCUGUCACUUUCGUUAGUUGUCAGGUUUCAGAUUUUAAAUUCGUCAUUAAAUGAAUGGGACCCGGAAGUUUCGAGGAUGCCAACCCAUUGAUUGAUUCAUGGAAACUUUUAGGAAACUUCUCGGAUACUUCUCGAAUGACUCAAGUUGUUGACUAUUUUUGACUCGAGAAAAAAUUUGAAGUCAAGUCCCUUUUCCCCACGCCAGAGACUGAUAGAGCUUGUAAUACCGACAACCCUCGCUUAGAUCCAAGCACACCCAAAGCAAACUACACUGAGAGGAAGAAAGCAUUUGAUAUCGCUCAGAUCCAAGCACACCCAAAGCAAACUUCACUAAGAGGAAGAAAGCAUUUGAUAUCCGUGGCAUUUAGAGAUCCUACAAUGGAGAAAGGGACGAGUUCACAGGUGUCAUCUAGAUCUUCAUAUGAGGUUUUUCUAAGUUUUCGAGGAUUAGAUACCCGUCAUACAUUCACCGAUUUUCUUUAUCGUGACAUGGAUGAAGCUGGAAUCUGCGUCUUUAGGGACAAUGAAUCCCUCCAUGUCGGUGAAAAAAUUGGUAAGCUUUUACAUGCAAUUGAGAACUCUAAGAUCUACAUUCCCAUAUUCUCCACAAAUUAUGCUUCGAGUGACUGGUGUCUUCGAGAGCUUGCACAUAUGGUCAAAUGCACCUCAAAAUUGAAUGGGAACAAAGAGAUUCUACCCAUUUUCUUGGAUGUGGAACCUUCUGAUGUCAAGUUGAAAACAAAAUUGUAUCGACAAGCUCUUUCAAAGCGCCAAAAGACGUGCAGUGAAGUAGAGUCAUGGGAAAAGGCUCUCAUUGAGGUGGGCAAGAUAAUCGGAUGGAACUGGAAGAAAGAUGAAAGGUGAAUGUCUACAAUUUUUUAAACUAUCAUAUGUGGAUUUCCUUUUCCUCCAUAUUGAGUUUAAUUGCAGUAUUGCUGGUGAAAAAAUAGUUUAUUCAACUUUAGUAUCUCAUUCUUUUCAUUUUUUCUCCCAAUUUCUAAAUUUCUUUUCUUUUUCAUGAUAAUUAAGGAUAAAAGAGAUUUUUUUUUCAAAUAUUGAGACAGAAUUAUAUCACGUAAAAAUCACAUGCCUUGCACAUGCCGACGACAAAAUUGAUACACAGUUAAUGGUCGUGUAACAAACUGAAAGUGCAGGAAAUAUUGCGAAACAGUUGAAGGUUCGGCUGUGUACUACCCGAAAUUUAAGAUGAUUUUGUGUAUUACCUCUGCUUUCUUUCAACCUCAUUUAUAUGGCAUUUGCAUUUUUUUUUAUCCUGGAUUUCAUAAGCAUUUAAGAAAAAUAUAGGAGUAUACAACCGUAUGGCCAUUCGGCAUUCGCGUAGCGCGAGUCUAAGGGGCCAGUUAAUUUUUAACGAAUAGAAGAAUGCAACUUCUCUUUGUUUUUUUUUUUAAACGUUUACUUAAAAGGUGAAAAGCUGUGUUCUUUCGUGAACCUAGCUGCUCUACCAAGCCGCUGGCCAGCCACCGCAGCAGCUCUCCCUCAACCGUCACUUCUUCCUUGCCAGCCCGACAACAAGCCGCCAUCGAGCCAUCCGGCCCCCCACCCUUUCUUUCUCUCAUUCACUGGGAAGUCGGAUAUGGGCUCGGGAUGUCGGGCCCGAUGUCACCGAGCCCAUAUUUGGCAUUGCCGACCUUGGGUGACCUCAAAUUUGGCGCCGCCAAAGGCCGGUAAAGCAUCCUUGGCGGUUGCAAGGCCACAGGAUCCAUGUGACUUGAAGGAUUGAGGCAAGGCCGAGAUGGGCGGGUCGAUGGGGCGGGAUGGGCAACCCCGUUGGAACACAAUGGUGACGACCUGGGGAGGUGAGCGACGUCAAUGGCGGUGUGGUGGUGGCAGCGGUCGACAGUGAUGGUGACUAAAAUUGGGGGAGCGGAGACGGAUUGGAAAAAAUCCAGAUUAUUUUGCCGUCUAGAUUAUGUUGCAUAAUUUUUGCAAAUUGUAGGAGCAAUUGAGUCCUUGAGGGAGCAGUUUUGCAAUAUAAAAUAUAUCCUAACAUGGUUGUUACCUUGUUGCAGCCAAGCGGAUCUGAUAAAACUUGUGACUGAAACUGUGUUGCGUAAGCUGAAUGUCGGAAAUAAAAAGAUUGUGACUGAAAAUCUAGUUGGAGUUGAUGAUCGUGUAGAAGCUAUAAUAAAAAAGUUGGAUGUGGGAUCGGAUAGCGUACAAUUUCUUGGAAUCCAUGGAAUGGGCGGGAUUGGCAAAACAACACUUGCCAAGGUCAUCUUCAACCAACUGUCUUCUCACUUCGAAUACUGCCAUUUCCUUUCGGAUGUCCGAGAAACGUCACGAUGCGAUGUCCGAGAGAUGUCACGAUGCAAUGGUCUGGUAAAUUUGCAAAAACAGUUGCUAUCCAAGUUCCUUGAUUCUCCUUCCAUCCUCAACCAAAUUCAUGACACGGAUCAUGGGGCCAUAAUGAUUGAGAAAGUAUUUCGCAAUAAAAAAGUACUCAUUGUUCUUGACGAUGUGGAUGAGGAAAAGCAACUCAAAAGUCUAGCAAAGAAAGUUGAUUGGUUCGGUUCCGGUAGUAGGAUUAUCAUAACUACUAGGUACCAAAGUGUCCUAAGCAUUCGAGUAGAAGCAACAGGUGAAGCCCCUACACAUAUUUUGGCUCAUGAAGUAUUCGAAAUGGAAUGUGAUCAUGCUCUUAAGCUUUUCAGCAAACAUGCCUUUAGAAGAGACUCUCCUCUAGAUCAUUAUAUCCCCCUUUCCCAAAAAAUUAUCCAUACUUUGGGAAAUCUUCCUUUAGCCCUUGAGAUUAUAGGCUCAUUUCUUAGUGGUAAAUCCAUAGAAAUAUGGGGAGACACAUUGAAUAAGCUAAAAGAAGCUCCUCCUAAGGAAGUCCAAGAAACAUUGAUGAUAACUUAUGAAAGGUUAGAUGAUGCCCAAAGGCAAGUAUUUUUGGAUAUAGCUUGUUUUUUCGCUAAUAAGAAAAAAACAUACCCUCCCUACAUGUGGGAUGCUUGUGUAUACUACCCACACAAUGCCCUUGAAGUCCUCUCUCUCAUGUUCUUGAUAAAAAUCAAGGAUGACAAUACUUUCUGGAUGCAUGACCAAGUGCGGGACCUCGGAAGGGAAAUCGUUCGUAAAGAGAAUGUUGAUGAUCCGCGUGAGCGUAGCAGAGUGCAUGAUCCUGAGGUAGCGCUAAACAUUUUGAAGCGGAAAGAGGUAUGAAAGGGGAACAUCAAUUUAUUUUCUUGUGAAAUGUUGUAAAUAUUCUUGUAAAAAGAAAAAUUAAUCGCUAUUAACAAUUUGAAUUGUUUGCUUUUGACCUUCACCAUGUGGACUCCUUUGUGUUUCCAUUGUCAGGGGAGUAGGAAAAUUAAAGCACUGUCACUUGGAUUUCUCGAAGACACUUUUCUAGAGUUUGGAGAACUUAGAGGAUUUGAAGCACCGCCAAUUAGAUUUCAUGAAGACAUAAUUUUAAAGCAUGACGAAUUUGCUUAUUUAGAGAAGCUGAGGUUCUUUGAAGGAUAUCGGGCGUCCUUUGUUGGAGACUUCAAUAAUCUUCUUUCCGAUUUAAAAUGGUUUUCUUGCCGUGAUUGCUUAUCCAUGUUGGAGGCAAAAAACUUUCAUCCGACUAAUUUAGUCGUUCUUGACCUUUCAUGGAGCGACAUUUCGGAAAAAGAUAUUGAUUGGAUCAAAGUACGAUACAAACCCCACUCCUUGUAUUCAUAAAUCGUUUCUUUUCAUUUUUUUUUUUUGGUUGGUGGUUUCUCAAUAAAUAUUUUAUCAAAUUGUUUUGCAGGAAGCAAGGAAAUUAAAAGUCCUAGAUCUCACCUACUGCACUAAAUUAAGGAGAACACCCGAUUUAUCUACAUUGGUGUCUUUGGAGAUUUUGAUAUUAUCAAAUUGUAUAAUUUUGGAAAGUGUCGAUUGGAUCAAAGUAUGAUACAAGUCUCACUCCUUGUAUCCAUAAAUCAUUUCUUUUUAUAUUUUUUAUAGGUCAUUUCUCAAUAAAUAUUAUUGUUUUGCAGGCAGCAAGGAAACUAAAAGUCCUAGAUCUUAGCUACUGCCAUCGCUUAAGUAAAACACUUGAUUUAUCUACAUUGGUGUCUUUGGAGAUUUUGAGAUUAAAUCAUUGUCAACUUUUGGAAAGUAUCGAUUGGAUCGAAGUACGAUACGAGUCUCACUCCUUGUAUUCAUAAAUCAUUUCUUUUUAUAUUUUUUUGUAGGUCAUUUCUCAAUAAAUAUUUUUGUUUUGCAGGCGGCAAGGAAACUAAAAGUCUUAGAUCUCAGCAAUUGCUAUAACUUAAGGAGAUUGCCCGAUUUAUCUACGUUGGUGUCUUUGGAGAUUUUGGGAUUACGUUAUUGUUCAAAGAUAAAGAAACUUCCAGACUCAAUUGGGAAAUUACAAUCAUUAAUCAAGUUGGAUUUGUUAGGAACGAAUAUUGAUCACCUACCGGAUUCAUUCAGCAAUCUAAAGCAACUGACAACACUUAAGAUGAGGGAUAUUAAGGGAGGGUUGACAAAAUUACCUAGUGCGAUCUGGAUGGUUCAGUUACUGGCUUAUGGUACUGAGUUCAUCAGAAGUGAGCUGUACUGUUUGAAAAUGCCAGACUCAUGUAGCCAAAUAAUCGGAUUACCUACCUUGGCGAGUCUCGUCUCUAAUAUCCAUAAACUUGAGAUAGCCGCACGGGAUGGCAGACGGUUUUGGGAUACAACGUGGGGCCCCCUUGGUAAGCUGGAGAAUGUCAUUGCUUUUCUCUAUAGACUCGGUUGUACCGAAUCUUCGCCGGAAAAACGAAUAUUGGCCUCCCCAAACAUGCGGUUCUUCCUCCAGCUCCCGUCUAGUUUAAGAGAGUCAGUAUUUCGAGAACUGGCGACCUCACUUUUGCCAUAUUCAUAUUCUCUUUGUUGGUGGAUGCCGAUAUUCGUUGGUAUAUGUGAUUCGGAGUUGGAGAAACGCCAUUUGCAGGAUUGCACUCUUACGAGACGGCUCGAACUGUUUGAGUGGAAUAUGAGAGAAAAAAUGAAAGAAAUGGAAGACCGUGAUUGUAGUUCUUAAUUGUGUCAAAUGUACAAGUAUGCAGUUGUAUUCACGAUGGAGUCCAUCGCCGCCACUGCUGCAACCAAACCCUUCUUCUCCGAUCUCUCCCCUCGCCUCCGCCGCGCGACCGCCAUGUCGCAGCCGCAUUCGAUUCCCCCAAACGCCCCCGAAUCUCCGACCACAUACCCCGCGCCGCUCUCUCCUCCGUUGCCGCCCUUAUCGAAGCAGGUGGAGCUGGCCAGAGCCAUGUCCGCUUCCUCCAGAUCGGGCGCCUUCUCUCUCUCCCGGAGCCACGUGGUCUACGAGGACGAGUGGCCCCUUGCCGUCAACAAGCCCCCCGGAGUUUACUGCGAGAGCGUCCUGGCCUCGGCCCCUCGCGUCGUCCCCGGCGAUUCCGGCGAUUCGGGUAGGUUACCGAUGGGGCGAUUUGCGUCCCGUCUCGUAUCUGUGCAGAUUGAUAAUUUUGCUGCUUUUUUGUUUAGCUUCACGCUGUGGUUGAAAUUGUACUUAACCUGCCUGUUCUUGGAUUUCAAAUGCGAGUUACGCGAAAUCCAUUUGCGGGAAUGUGUAGUUGGGAAAUCCGUAGUGCGAAAUUGAAGUUCGAUUCUAUGCUUUAGUUUAGGAAAAGGAAAUGCGAAGCUGGAAAAUUUGCGAUCUUUUUAUUUCGGUUCAGUUUGAUGGCAAAAAAGCAGUUCAUAUGAUUUCUUGUGCUUUAUUUGGGAAGAUAGUAGCAAUGUGUUUCCUUAGGCUUAAUUCUGCUACAAUUUGAUGUGGAUGUUUUGAAAUGGGAUUAGAGAAUCCUACUCCGAAGGGUUAAAAUUGUUGCUGUUUCGGGUGUGGUGAUGCUUGAGUGAAUUUUCAGCUCUAGAUCAUAGUGAUGUCGCUUGUCCUAUGUUUAUUAGCUUUAGUAGAAGGCUAGAUUUGAAUCCAGUUUGUGGGUUUAGCUUAUUUUUAUUCAGUUCCGGCCAAUCUUGAAGAGAUAAUUUGAGCAGAUUUGAGGCUGAUUCGAUCCGUGUAUAUCUCAUUUUAAGGAUGUUCUUGUCAUAGAAAAUGAUCACUCCUUGAAACCUGUCUGACUGUGCAGCUUAGCUUUGUUAAUCUAAGUUCUUUGAAAUGGUUAUCGUUGUAUGAUAUGUGCUCAACCUACUUAAUUGAUAAAUGUGGUUAAGAUGGAGUCAAAUUUAUCUUUAUUUCUCAUGGUUUGAAUACUUAGGAUGCACCUACAUUGUCAAUACUAGAACAAGUUUUGUCAGAAUUCCUGGCAAUUGCAUCGUGAAUUCAAUCAAAUGAGUGAACAGAAUCCAACAUUGACAGCUUACUGUUUUCUGCUGUUAGGGUGCACUGAAGCUGUGCCUGAGCUCCACCUUGCUAAUCGACUUGACAUAAGGUGAGAAAAACAUACAUAGCUCUCUGUGUUGGAUUAGCACCGAAGUGGGAAACUAUAACCAUUCGAUCAGGCCAUGGUCGGUCAAAGUUUGGAGGGUCUAUGCAGCACCAGAUGUGGGACGGACACUGCCAGGUGGGUCUUUGGUCAGGGACAUGGAAACAUCAUUUGAGGUAUUGUCUGUAAAUGGUCAAUUGAAGUCCAAGCAACCAGUUAAGCAGGGAAAAGAUGAUGACAAUAUCGUGGUAGUUGAAGAGAAAUCUUCUAUCAAGGAUAAUGGAACGAAAGAUGUAGUUUUGGUGAGAGCAUAUCCUCGGAGUGUUAGGACGCAUCAAAUCCGCUUGCAUUGCCAGUAUCUUGGGAUUCCCAUAAGAGGUGAUGUGAAGUACGAGGGUGUGUAUGAGUGGGAAGGGCAAAUAAAUGACUACCACACUCUUCAUGCCGAGAGCUUGUCCUUUGAGCACCCAGUAACCGGUGUGCACCUGAUGUUUCGAGCACCUUUACCUGCGUGGGUUGCUGAGUGCUGCCCUAAUGAGAUCCCACCUGCUUUUUCUUCAAAUGAAAAUCAUGCUAGAUGAGGCUAUAAACGCUUCAUUGGAGGCUGAUGAAUUUGCUAAUUUAGAAAAGCUGAGGCUCUUUCUAGGCAAUUGUGUGUCCUUUAUUGGAGACUUCAAUAAUCUUCUGUCCGAUUUAAGAAUGCUUUCUUUUUAUGAAAGGAGAUGGGCUUUUACAUAUGGUGGUCCUUCCAUGUUUCAAGCAAAAAACUUUCAUCCAACUAAUUUAGUCGUUCUUCACAUUUCAAGUAGCAGCAUUACGGAAGAAAGUAUUGAUUUGAUCAAAGUACGAUACGAGUCCCACUCCUUGUAUUAAUAAAUCAUUUCUUUUCAUUUUUUCUUGCAGUUCGUUUCUCAAUGGAUAUUUUAUCAAAUUGUUUUGCAGGCGGCAAGGAAACUAAAAGUCCUAGAUCUCAACCGUUGCAUAAACUUAAGGAGAACACCUGAUUUAUCUACGUUGGUGUCUUUGGAGAUUUUGGGAAUAACACAUUGUAUGAAAUUGGAAAGUAUCGAUUGGAUCAAAGUAUGAUACGAGUCUCACUCCUUGUAUCCAUAAAUCAUUUCUUUUUAUAUUUUUUUAUAGGUCAUUUCUCAAUAAAUAUUAUUGUUUUGCAGGCGGCAAGGAAACUAAAAGUCUUAGAUCUUAGCCGCUGCAAUUACUUAAGGAGAGUGCCCGGUUUAUCUACGUUGGUGUCUUUGGAGAUUUUGAGAUUACGUAAUUGUUGGAGGAUAAAGAAACUUCUAGACUCGAUUGGGAAAUUACAAUCAUUAAUCGAGUUGAAUUUGCUAGAAACAAAUAUUGAUCACCUACCAGAUUCAUUCAGCAAUCUAAAGCAACUGACAACACUUAGGAUGAGGGACAUUAAGGGAGGGUUGACAAAAUUACCUAGUGCGAUCUGGUUUGUUCAGUUUGUGGCUCAUCGGGAUGAGUUCAUCACAAGUGAGCUGUACUGUUUGAAAAUGCCAGACUUGUCAUGGACCUAAAUAAUCGGAUUACCUACCGUGGCGAGUCUCGUCUCUAAUAUCCAUAAAAUUGAGAUAGCCGCACGGGAUAGCAGACGGUUUUGGGAUCCAACGUGGGACCCCCUUGGUGAGCUGGAGAAUGUCUUUGCUUUUCCCUAUGGAUCCAGUCAUACCC
rnacentral:lncRNA from 1 species